rnacentral:lncRNA from 1 species
UUUUUUUUUCAUAUUGUUUUCUGUAUUACGCCCUGAUCGAGCUGGAUGCUUAUGCAACCAGAAAAGAAUCGAUAAGGCCAGUGGUGUUUAACUGUUAAAGAUGGCACCCGUGCAUGUUAGUAGAUUCCAAAAUCCUGGCCCUCGUGUCCAGCCUCACAUGGGCUGCUCACAUGGCUCCAUCGACCGGGCCAUGAUAAGCCCACCCUUGUACAAAUUAUUGGUGUCCCCUCCGCGCUCGUGUGCAUCGCCAUAAUGUGUGAGAAUAAAACAAGAUACACCUCAGCAUUCCCAACGUCGUGAAUAAGAAAAGGAACUGUAUUGUACUGUAUUUUCCUAGAAAAAAGUUCAUUAAAAUGCUAAAAAGUUAAUAAUGGGUAUAUAUGCUUAAAUUUAAGAUGUGAACAAAUUUUGUUAUAUAGUUGUUAACUUGUUAUUAUUAAUAACCGGUAAAGGAAGAAAACAAAUAAUAAAAGAGAGUCAUUCUGCGCGUUGCGGCCGGGCCUAACCGCCUAAUGGGGGCCUGGGCACAGCCCAAAACAGCAGCAGUGCUUGGGCCACUUAGCGUGGCACCGCAUGUCGGCCCGGGAACGGCCUGUUAAGGGCCCGCACCACUCCCCCACCUCCCCCAUACAAAAGGUUGCCCCAACCCUAGCCCCUCAUUUUCCCCUCCCCGGUUUUCCAGCAGCCGCCGCGCGCUGCUCCCUCGUUUCACCCCUCCCCCUCAUCUUGGCGGCGCUAUUCGGUCUUCGCAGGGCCCUUUGCCGGCGACGAGCACCCAGCAGGUAUGCCCUCCCCUUCUCCACCCUUCCUGCUGUGUGGAACAGAGCACCACAAACCCUAAUAUAAGCUAUCUGUAUUCGGAUCCCACCCAGUUACAAUACUAUUACAUAAGAGCUUCGAUUUUGCUUGCAAAAAUUAUCGAGUGUACAUGCGUACACCCAUGUCCUAUGCUGGGUCCGCCCCAACUGGAAUGCACGGUUUAUCUGCUUUAUGUAUUUGCUUUGCGAUGUAAUAGCAUUCCACUUUUGGCCGUGCAAUAACAUUAGAAAGUUGGUAUGUAGCAAUUACGAUUUGCCAAGUCCUUUUUACUGUUCGUUGGUUUCUGCCUGCUUAUAGAAGUCCUCCAUAAUCCAGAAAUGAAAUGAAGUUUCAACUCUUCUGCUGCACGGAAUGUAUUUGGCUCGUCACCUCUAGCUAGUGUGUAUUCAUCCAUGGAGGAUCAUAUUGAUGCUAUGCUUCUGUCCGUAGCCAGUUUUGCGUUUGUCUGUACUGUGAUAACUGAUAAGAACGAGUUUCAGUACUUUUUACAUUUAAUGUGCGUUUUUUUAGCUUGUGGAAGAUCAUUCACACUUGCCUAGGCUGUUCUGAAUGCCGUACAUAGUAGUACUCCCUCCGUUCCAAAUUGUAAGUCAUUCCAAGAAUAUUGGAGAGUCAAAGCAUCUCAAGUUUGACCAAAAUUAUAGAGAAAAAUAUAAAGAUUUAUGACAUCAAAUAGAUAUAUUAUGAAAAUAUAAUUGAUAAAGAAUCUAAUGAUACUUAGUUAACAUCAUAAAUGUUAUUAUAUUAUCAUAUAAAUUUGGUCAAACUUGAGAUACUUUUACUCUCCAAGAUUCUUGGAAUGACUUACAAUUUGGAACGGAGGGAGUAGUUGGUUUCUGUGACACUUGGGUUCAAUUCAUCAACUUUUUUGUGGUUUUGGCACUUCAGUAUUAGUUAAGGUAGACGAGGCUUAUUCUUCCAUGUUGGUUCUUCUUGACUGCCAAUCUGCUAGUGUUGUAUUGCAGUCUGCAGCUUCUCUGUUACUUAGUUUUUGGCCAACAUAAAUGGGUCUUGACUGUCUCAUGUCAACUUCGGUAUCAGUUGUAGCUCAAUAUGGUUAUCAAUUUACAAAAUAAUUUAUAUCUGACCUUGAAUCGUGGACUGUUUUUUACACUUUGGUUAAUUGUACUUAUUUAGAAUGGUUGCACUCUUAAGCUGCCUUUCACAACUUUUUUGAUGGUGUUCUGCAGGUAAGGUCAUUAUGGUUAGAGUCAGUGUUCUCAAUGAUGCUCUGAAGAGCAUGUAUAAUGCUGAGAAGCGUGGGAAGCGGCAAGUCAUGAUUAGGCCGUCAUCCAAGGUCAUUAUCAAGUUUCUUAUGGUCAUGCAGAAGCAUGGUUAGUUAUCAAUUUUUAUCCUAACAAUUUUUGCUUUCAUGGAGGAUGGGGUCCCUGAUACUUUUGUUGUGCUGUGCAGGCUACAUUGGUGAGUUUGAGUAUGUGGAUGAUCACAGGGCAGGAAAAAUUGUGGUUGAACUGAAUGGCAGGCUGAACAAGUGUGGUGUCAUCAGUCCUCGCUUUGAUGUUGGAGUGAAGGAAAUUGAGGGAUGGACAGCCAGGCUACUCCCGUCUCGUCAGGUUUGUUGCUUGGCGAUGUUACCGACUCCAAAUACCUAAAUUGUGACGAAUUGUCUGUGUUUUGGGCACUGCUGAUCUUUCAGUGGUAAAUUGAUUAACUUGCCCCUUGGGACUUGCAGUUUGGUUACAUUGUUCUGACUACAUCUGCUGGCAUCAUGGACCAUGAGGAAGCCAGGCGAAAGAAUGUUGGUGGCAAAGUUCUCGGUUUCUUCUACUAAAAUGGAAAUUUUGCAAGGAGCAUCAGUUUUUUUGUCUGAAUAGCUGCAGAGAUGAGCUUAUGAAGCAUGUUUGCUGUUUUGUUAAUGUUUUGGCUUUUAUGAUAUUUGAGGUGUAGUUGAAUGUUCGCUUGUUAGACACCAAACUGUGCUCAACUUAUAUAGUUGGCAUCUGGAUUUUAAUCGAAUUAAGCUAUGGUACUUUCUCGUUGUGUUGACUAUCUCCAAAUACGCUCUUUUGACUUGUGUUAAUUCUUGUAUGUUCCCAAGUGCAAGUGAAGUCUGAAACUCAGAACUGGUUUGUUUCAGAUGUCAAUGACCUGGAUAAUAUGCCAUUAGUCUGGAUGCUGCUGAAAUGUAGUACCUGAAGUAUAUGAUUUAAAAUUUUAGAAAAUCUCUAUUUGCUACUCUCUCUUUUGAAUUGUAGGUUGUUUUAUUUUUUCCACUUAGAUAUAAGUGUAUGUCUAGAUGAACCCAGAAAAUCAAAACAACCUACAAUUUGGAAAUUUGGAACGAGGGAGUACAUUACAUAUGGGUCACACACUCACACCUGUAUACGCCGUUAUUCCCAAACUAAUUUAUGCUAGCUGGCUAGUAUGUAGUUUCGUAGAGCAUAGACAUCAGAUGUACCAAUUAAGAUGAAACUUCACAAAGAAACUUCACAAAGAGAACAUCUCUGAAAAGCAACAAAACGUCACAACAAGCUCUACAAACGUAUACAGUGGCCUGCACCAUAUGGUACUUCACUAAAUACUGAUGUAUUAUUGCUGACUUAAUAUAGAUAACAACGGAUACAUGAAGUUGCAUUUCUACAGUGACUCAUGAGCUAGGGGCGGUAAUACACGCGCUCAAUUACCAUCUUCUCACGGAGGAGGAAGAUCUGCCAAAGAUGUAUAGUUGCCCUACAUGGCCGAACACCAGCUGCCUCCGCCGUCAGCCCGUCACCGUCGCAGCUGUCGCCGCCGCACUCGCUGCCGGCGAAGCCGAGGGAGCAGCCUGCUUGAACUACAUGGCAGCGGCAUCAGGACAAUGUUGGGGUAGAGAUUAGAGAGGCACACCCCGGUAAAGGGUCCUCCAUGGAAGGUGUUGGAUGAGGAUGCAUAUAUAGGGAGCUUGAGGCUUGUCCCGGCGAGUGGAAGCCUAGGUGGGUGACGGCCUUUUUCGCGAACCGGAAUGCGGUAUCUUCCUUAGCAUAUUCUUGAGCACAUGGAAACUUCUCCCCUUUUCCUGUUCCAUGCUUUGCUUCGCUUUCGAGUAUUCAAAGGAUAUUCCAUGCCUUUGCGUGCCUUUCUCUGGACGUAGAGUUGGAGUGGCUUGACGAAGCAUGGGCUGGAAAGCUGGUUAGGGUUAGCUGUGGUCACGACGUCACGUAGAAGAGUCUUGCCUGGUGCUUUGUUUGUUCGUCUAGCAGUAUAUACCAGGUCAUUCAGAGUGAUCUGUUCUUCUAGCACUUGAUGAUCUUGCCUGCUUGGUCGUUUUCCUUUCCCCAUGAGUACAGACAUCAUAAAUAAAAACUAUUAACCAUAUGAAUAUCUAUUUGAAAAGGUUAAUUUAGUGAAAAAUAUAACGUUAAAUUGCUGCCGUGUCAUGGUGUGUUGACGAUGUGAGUUGGAGUGAAGUCGAUCUGCACCUCCGGCUAGGUAAGCUCAAGUUGGUGUUUCUUUUUGUUACCCAGCUCUUUGCAAAUCUUUCGACCUACACGAGAUAUGCUCGAGCAUCUUUCGAAAAAAAAAGAUUUUAGCUCGAGCAACACUGUAAUUUGUUGCCCGCAAAAAACACUGUAAUUUGCAAAUCGCACGUCGAGCACGUCACGUGAAUCUGAAUGAAGUGCUGCGCGGCCCAUGAUCCCCAGGCAUACACGGCCCAGCCAGUAAAAGAAAAACUGCAUGCAGCCUUUGCAAGCGACCCACCAAAAGUCCAAAACCGCAGCGGCGCAAACCACCCCCAAUCAUGACGAGGUCAUAACAGCCCAAAAUUGACCAAAAUACCCCCAAAGGACAACCCACCCGUUCCUACGAUUACCUCAGAUCCACCCCCGCUGAGAACCGAAUCCAAAGCGAUUCGAUUCCCCGCAUCGGCUGGUAAAAAUCCGCCGCUUCGCGCCCGCUGCUGCUGCUUCGAUUGCUUCGUGUGAUCAGUGACCUCGCGCUUCUCUCUCCCAGCCUGUACUCGCCAGCGCGUCGCGGUUGAAGGUCGGGGUGGUCGGGCGGGAGGGCGAUGGCCGCGCCGCCGGCGAGGGCUCGCGCCGACUACGACUACCUCAUCAAGCUGCUGCUCAUCGGCGACAGCGGUGAGUGAGAGUGCUUCGUUCUACAUGUCCCUGCUUUGAUUCACCGCCUGCCAUUUUUAUUUUUGUUAUCUGUGUUGGUUGCGUGCGAGCGCAAGCCUGCUGGAAAGUGGUCAGUGACGAAAUGCUACGCUAGCUGUUAGUGGAUUGUUUGUUUCAUUUGUUGGAUUUAGAGCGGAUUAGCAGAAGCAUGUGGCUUUUACUUGCUGGCGUUGAGUUGCGGGUACAUGAUCAUAGCUGCGCUUGAUUACCUGCUGCCUUUGUAAUAAGUGACAGCUUGUUGAAUAAGGGAGUGAUACAGAAGAUAACAAUGGGAUAUUGAUAAGAGAAGUUAUUAGUUAUAUUAUGUGAAAUUUGGACUACAUGCUACCAGGGAUUAUGGGGACAUUGUUGUCUAUUACUGCAGAAGAACAUUGUGUUUUGCUGAAGGAAUCGUGGACUUGUGGAAGGUCUGCCAUAUGCAAGUCGAAUUGCUUGAUUCUGUGUUUGAAUAAAUGUUUGUUUGUUUGGAAGAUCUACUAUGAUCUUUUUUCUUUUUGAGUGGAGAUUUACUAUGAUCUACAAGGCUAGCUUAUGUUGCAUUUCCCAAGCAUGUAGACAAGGACAAUAUCUCAUCCAGUCAGCUGCACUCCUGAAGUAAGUAUGUCCAUAAAAUGUUUUCAGCUGUAGUAAAAAAUGGUGCGAAUUCAAAGGUUUACAGGGGGUUGCUCGUUUUUUCAGGUACAUGUGCACGUGUGGUGUUCGUGACCAUCCGGGUAUCCAAUAAUCAGUGACAAAGACAUCAUUUAUAAGCUAUAAUAAGACCAUGUAUAGGCUAGAGAGAUUGGCUAAGGAAAAUGAACCGGAGACGGAGUUUUUGAGCAUAAGUCAUAAUAAACCAAAAUGCAUAACAAAAGACAUAUUUGGCAUACUUAAAUUUUUUAGGACAUGAUUAGCAUCUGACUCUACAUGAGUUUUCUUUGGUCAUUACAUUGUUGUAAAGUACAAUAAAUACGCUACCUACGAGGGAAUUUUGUUCUGCAUUUUCACUUUCUCACUUUGUUAUUUCUUCAGUUCACAAAUGAGUCAAUCCCCUGAACCCUUCCUUUGUUUUUUUUCUGUACAUAGGUGUCGGCAAAAGUUGCCUCUUACUGCGGUUCUCCGAUGGAUCCUUCACUACUAGUUUUAUUACUACAAUUGGGUAUGUUCUAUGUUGAAACAUUAUUUAUCUCUUCCCAACUUCCCCUGAUAAGUAAUUAUGCAUUCUUAUUCUGUUGCUUCAAGUUUUCCUUCUUUGCCUGUUGACCUUAAAUCCUGUUUGCCUGCAGCAUUGACUUUAAGAUAAGAACGAUUGAACUGGAUGGCAAGCGUGUUAAAUUGCAAAUUUGGGAUACAGCUGGUCAAGAGCGAUUUAGGACUAUCACUACAGGUGCUAUACUUGUUUCAUUGUGUGCUAGUGACCAGUCCUAUGAAACUAUAUGAUACUGACAGUCCUAUUUUCAAUUGAGUUCCUUUUUAUCUCAGCAUACUACCGAGGAGCCAUGGGUAUCUUGCUUGUCUAUGAUGUCACUGAUGAGUCAUCUUUCAACAGUAUUGCCCUUAUAUAUCUCUUAAAUCUUCAACGUGGAUAAUUUUGCCUACUUUCUUUUGUCUUUGAUAGUCUUGUUCAUUUGACAUACAGAUAUACGGAAUUGGAUUCGCAACAUCGAGCAGCAUGCCUCUGAUAAUGUGAAUAAAAUUUUGGUAGGCAACAAGGCUGACAUGGAUGAGAGUAAAAGGGUAUUGAUCCAAGCUCCCCUAACCCUAUUAUAUGCUACUAGUUUUGUAUGGGCUCUGAUAUCUGCUACUAGUUUUGAAUUACUGCUUCACUUCUCUUUUUGGUUGUUAUUGCAGGCUGUUCCUACUGCAAAAGGGCAAGCACUAGCUGAUGAAUAUGGCAUCAAGUUUUUCGAGACUGUAAAUACCUGCGCUGUGUUGUUUGGUUGUGUCACUGACGAACUUAUUCUGAUUUUGCUUCGUGCUGUAUCUUUCAGAGUGCCAAGACUAACCUCAAUGUGGAGCAAGUUUUCUUCUCUAUUGCCCGAGACAUUAAGCAGAGACUUUCUGAAACCGAUUCCAAGCCUGAGGUAUGGUUACAUGGAGGCUUGUGUUUAUGAGCACGUGAAAUUUAUUUACUCUGUUCAGAGUUUGAAAACUAUCUUAUUGUUUUUAGGAUAAGGUAGUCAAUAUUAGACAAGAUCAAGGUGCCGAGGCCUCGUCAUCUCAGAAAUCUGCUUGCUGUGGCUCAUGAGGAAUUUGGUCUUCAUUAUCCUAAACUAUGUUAGCUUUGUUUUCUUACUUUUUUCCUUGAUAUUGUAGGAAAAAUGUCAAGAAGAUAAUCAUGAUGUGCUUGUUCUUUACUUGUUUCCAUUCUGUGCAACAACCACUCUUGCCUUUUCAGUUUACUAUUGCAAUUUAUUUUUUUCUUCUUCUUUUCUUGUGGGGUGAUGGUGGUGCUGUGAUGGGGUGUUACUGCAUGUUUUGUUGCAAUCAAUCGAGACACCUACUUUUUGCAGUGCUGUGUAAUCAAAUUUAAAUAAUUCCAUUUCUAGUUUACCUAUCUAGGUAUAAUAUAAUAGUACAUCAAGUCACAAGUGUUGCAUUGAACAUUAAUAGUCACAGUUAUGCAUUAAAAAAACUUCUAUGAUAUUAUAUGCGCAGAUCCAUCUUUUUCGUAUGGUUGAUCUGAAUAUUUACAAAAUAAUAUCAGAAGUCAUAUUUAAAAUAAUUUGACUGCACAUGUUCUAAGACCAGUUAUUUUAAAUAGAGCGUGUAUGCCAAUUAUUUGGACCUUUGACAAGCUAAAACUUUUGACUUCAUGAUUGUUGAAAGUGAUACCACAAUUGGUAGUUGUGUAUUAUGCAAUGCUUAUAGUCAGAUCACGACACCUGAUUGAACAACUAGUACAAGUUUUUUUAAAAGAAUUAUCUUUCCUCAAUACACAGUAUGAUGGUUUUCUUGUUUUUGUUUCCUUUGCAUCAUUAAGAAGAAAUAAUAAUUGAAUGAUGUGGAUUUUAUACGGGUAAUACGCUGUGAGAAGUACAAGACAGCUUUGAUGUUGGCACCAAAUCACAUAAAAAAUUCUGAAAGGAGUAUACACAUGUACUCCUCAAUUUAUUCUAUCUCUAUAUAAAAUUUUAAGUUAAAAUAGUUCUGUAAAUAGUUAUAGAAAUUGAGAAUCCUGACAUUCAAAAUCAAGAGGAAAGUGAAAAGGAUGUUAUUGUUUCAUUUCAGUUUUAAGUUGAAACCGUAAGGGGUUAAUUAUAUGGUAAGUUUGCACAUCUCGUUUCAUAUUGUAAAAUUGGUUGAAAAAGGCAAAUCUCGGUUAUUCUUCCAUGUACGUGGGUGAAUGAAAGUUUGAACUGUUCUGAGUGCACGUUGAUUGUUGAAUGCACUUAAAAACAGGGAAGAAUCCAUCAGAAACUGUCGAACUCAUUCUGCUUUGUUUUAUUCAUCUUCUUGCGUUUCUUUUGGUGUACUCUGACCAGCUGAAGGUACAGGGUAAUCCUGACAGCCUUGCAAUUCAGCCUGCAUGUUUCGCACUACUGUGGUUAUCAAAGUAUUAGCAUUUAUUCAAAAUAAAAAGAAGGGAUAUUAAAAUUGGAAUGAAAAGCGAUGUCCACGGGCAAGCAAGAAAAUAUUGAACUUGGCCAAUAACAACUGUUUGAACGCCAUUAUUACAAAGCGGUACAGAACUGUUACUUCGGUAAAUUCUCUCCGCUUAGUCAAAUGGAAACGCAUAGCAUGUUAUUACUAUUUACACCAAGGAAAUGGGAAGGGUUCAUCUCUAUUUCAUUCAAACUACCCUAGCCUAUAAAUAUACCUAACAACUCCAUGGUAGAAACCGAGAAUUACAGAAGUCUAAAACAAAUCUAACAUGUAUUUUGGAAAGAAUUUGGGGGUGCCCCCAGAAAGUAACAAUGGAACAGUAUACCGUGACGAACACAACAACAACCAUGAAAGAAAAAAAAAAUUAUGUGCAGUCUAACGGAAAUCAAAGGCCCAACUAGAGCGAACAGUCUAACAUGGCGAGCGUCUUAUGUACACCCUGCCCGGCUCCGCCUAGCACCGCCACGCUCCGGCACUUGGCGCAGUUCUCCGACGGCGUGAGGUUGAGGUCCAGGCAGAUCCCUCCGGCGACGUCGCAGGCCUUCUCGGGCGCCGGUCGCUGCACCUUGUUGUUAUGCGCCUCGGCGUCGGCCUCGGCCUCGGCGCGGUGCCGCCGCAUGUGCCCGCCGAGCGCCUGGCCGAUGGCGAACUCGAGCCCGCAGACGGGGCACUCGUGCACCCUCGGCUUGGCCGGCUGCUGCGGCGCCAGCAGCAGCGGCUGGCGCCCGAGGCAGAGCUCCGCGUGGUCGGCCGCUGGGCUCUGCUGCUGCUGCUGCUGCAGCGGCUGGAGCAGCCUGGGCCGCUUGUGGCUGGCGCGGUGGCCACCGAGCGCCUGGAACGUCGGGAACUGCCGGCUGCACGUCUUGCACUCGAACACGCGCCCGUGCGGCCCCCGCGCCGAUGGGAACGGCGCCCCGUGCCCGUGCUGCAGGAGGUGGCGCUGCUGCUGCUGCUGCUGCGCCUGCGCGAGGAGCACGAGCAGGCGGGCCGUGUCCGCGGCGCCGGCCUCCACCUCCCACGCCGCCCUGUCCCUCUUGCUCAUGGCUAGCUAUUGAUCUACCGAAAAAAAAAUACGCGCAAAUGUCGGGGAAUGUGCGGGGCAUGGGGGCAACAGGCGGUCGUAUAUAUAGCAGCGGCAGCGCAUGGCGGCGUUGGAAUUGGGUGCCAGGCCGGUCGGGUCCGUUUCAGACCGCCUGCACUGCACGUACGACUCCGCAAAAGAAAUGGGGCACGACGCACGACUCGCCCAGUUGCUAGAAUGCUAGCUACUACGCCUAUACCUGGUGAUGACUCGACUGAAACGACCCGAUCUCCCGUUUGGUCUGCUUCUAGACGUGGAUGUGUGUACUAUUCCGAGCGCUGGAGAGUGCCUCUGACCACAGCUGCGUGUGUGCUGUACUACUGCUACCUCCGGACACCCCUCGUGAAGUCGCGAUGUCUCAGUCAACAUGGGUGUGUCCAUCGAUCAAGCUGUGUGGCUACCCCGGCUCGUACUGGCGCUACCCUUCUAGAGAGGCUGCGCCGGCGCGGGCGACGUGCGUGCUCCCGAGCGUCGUCCCGUUCCGUUCGCCAUGUUUUACUUCUGCUACUCCCGAGCGGCCACGGCUUUCACACCUCCGAUCCUCCUCCAUGGAACGGCCGGUUGGUAAUGGUGUCUCGGUGACUCAUCGAUUACGGGUACAGUCGGUUCAAUUCCAUUUAACAUUUAUUGGGUCGACUCGAUCGCAAUCGUCUAGAACGUACCAGUGGCGUCAGUGUCUGACUAUAGCAUCUCCGUAAUUCGGCGUACUGAUUUGAGAUUUCUGUCAGGACCAGCGGAGAAGAUUAUCCGAGCCAGAAGUUUACUGCCGCGUGAGGUACAGUUUGCUGCUGCUGAAUUCCUUUCCAGAUGGUUUGGGGAUGCCGGUUAAUCGGAGGCAUCUGACAGGAACCGGAGUCGACGACUGAACAGGUUAUACUACUCGUUGUGCAAUCCAUUGUCCAACUGCCAACUAAACUUCUUUGACAGGGAUCGGAGUAUCGAUCCAAUCCAUAAUCGUCAAUCACGCAUUCGGACUUUAGCUAAUUAUAAUCAGUUCAUUGCUGGAGUUGUUUGAAUAAUGAACGUAGUAGUCAUAUUGAUUGAACGUACAAACUAUUCUCACGUCCGUUUCCCCGUGAAAAAAAAUAAUGCAGCCUUGCAGCAGCAGCAGCCAGUUGGGUGCUUCCGCGAAUGCGCAAUCUUUUCUUGUGCAUCAGAUAAAAAAAAGUUUAGCCGAUGGAGUCAAAUGUCAACGCGUUAGCCGUCAUGCACUCAUCCUUAACUUUACCAGCCACCAGGUGCCUAAAACAGUCGUAAGAUCAAAUCUCCUUGGGACUUUAUUCGAAGAUCGAUCAGUAGUAGUAGUAGGUGACUCACCUAACUACUCCAGACGCCAACUGUAUCCCGGCCAACGACUAACCUGUCCACGUAGACAACACGCACGCGGAAAAUUGAACCUGAGAGCUGCGAGUUUGGUCGAUCCGGUCCUGCAUGCGGCAGCAUACUGAACUAGUGAUCAAGUACUGACGCCUGCAUCACGUACCCAUCGUUAGGUAGAGUGCAGCCCCGGUCUUGCCGUCUUGGCGGCAAAACGUAGUACGGGCGAUUAUUUGACCAAUAUUUUUUUUGGAGACGAGAAUAAACUGAAAACGAUGGACCGGCCGCCUGUGCAUUUUCACUCCCAUAAUUUCUCCAACCACACUUGGGCCAAAAACUUCUAGCAUGUGAUCAAAACACGUGCACGUUUUCAUAGCUGUUUGGUUUUGAAAGGCUCCCGGAAGGCCGAAACCAAAGAAGAAAAGCUCGGUUUCGAGGUCAUACUAAGCAUGAUUCAGGCACUGUGUCGGUCAGCAGUCAGCGCAAGCUACCAUGUCUUGAAAUGUGCCCCCAAAAGCUAAGCUUUGUACUAACACGUACAGAACGAGACCCGUCGCCUGCAAGACUCAUGCGUGUGCGCACGAGUCCGAUCGAGCUGCACCAACCACCACUAUUCCCGCUUAAUUUUCCACCCAAACUAAACACCAGGAAAUCACGACAGCCACGAGCGAGCCCACGAUCUAAUAAAGAUUGAACCGGAUCUUGGACUCGGACUCUCAAAACCGAGACCCACCAACGCAAGGCCAACGACGAUAAGCGCGGCCGGCACGAUCCACCCAACUCCCUUUUGCUUUGCUUUGGAUUAGUCUAUGACGAGUAGUAGCUAGUAAUUUGCAUUGGCCAGGUCAUGGUUGCAUCAGUUUUUUUCUUACACGUCGCUGUAAGCACGAUCGGUGAGAGCUGCAAGAAGUCGAUCAGCUCCGCAUAUUUAAUCCUGCGACUUGUGCACUCGGAGAGUACUUGUGGAAUUGUUAGUGGUACAGAUGUCCGGCCGGCGGCCGGUUUCUUGCAUCGCUUGGACACUUUUGUCUGUGUACUGCCAGCUGAUGGGACGAUUAUGCCAGCGCCACAGGAUUUUCAAGGGAAAUUAGGUCGUCCAGGUGGAGUACACUACGUAUUUUUUCAUUCUCUAGAAAUAUUAGGACUUUCUCCUGCCAAUUCGCAAUCGCCGUGAUGCACGAUGUACCCGAAUAGCCGUUGAAAAUCGUGUAUUUUAUUUCUCACAUUCCGAUUCAAGACGGAUCGGAGCAGCGUCAGUGCUGGUUAAGACAAGCACGUACAUGUUGGAGACGGCGACCUGUUCAUGCAGGGUGAUUUCAGGAGAACACGUCAGCUUCUCAGGGCAUGCAUGGAAGUCAAGAACGCAGUUGGAAAGCACAUCUCGAUCGAUCGCAUGGACUUGGGUACAUGGAGGCGACGUGGAACCCGUGCAACUUGGAUCAUCGUCACAGAAACGGUUUCACACGGGUCAAUCAAUCGGUCGAUGGCUCAGCUCUUGGUCGCUACGGGAAUAUUUUGCCUUUUUACACUAGCUAUAUCUUGAUCUGUAGUGACAGCGAGUUACUAGACAGUCAACAGCAUGUGUAUGCCAUGGAUGAUGAGUUGAUGACUCCUAAUUGCGGAAAGGUGUGGCGAAGACCUCCAAGUUUCCAGCACUCGCUGAGUCAUAUCAAAUGAAGGAAUGCGAGCAUGUCACAGUUAACCCUGCAGUUAGCGCUUAUCGGAAGAAGAACUUUACCUGCGUGGAUGGCGUCAGAGCUGGCGUAGCAAUCCCAGGUCGUCAGAGUUUAGCUUCGCUCCUUUUCAUAUUCAGGUCGUUCGCUCGUCAGAGGAUGAACAUGCUGCUUCCCCUCAUACACUGCACCUUCCUUCACGUUGCGUUGCUGCUAAGUUAGUGGAGAAGAAAAGGCAUACUCUCUGAACGAAAGCCAUGUUAAACCAAUAGUGCAAAAGCCAUCCUCUGAUCUUCUUCAUCAGAUGUCUGCAUGAUUCAUGGCGUAACCCGUUGCAGCAGCAGCGUUUUUCUUUUGUUAUGUGUUGAGUCUGCAAUAUUUCCUUGACAUGUUCAGUUUACAGGUGACAGGCGAACCUUCUCAGAUGCUUCAGAGAGCACAUUUUCUAAGAUCGCUCGUUUCUAACCUAGCAGGAGUAAGCUUCAACCAUCCCUGAGUCAGCUAGCCAACUUUUCCAGGUACAGCCGACAAGUAUACGAGGUACAGCCAGCAAAUCCAGACGAGAUACCAAUACAAUUCAUGUUUACUUUUCCCCACACCAAUGGUCACACAUACUACGGAUAUAUCUUUCCAAUCCAGUUCCACGGCUGUACUAUUCAGUAGAACAAUAUCUGUUUCAGACUAGGAUGUGCACUGCAAGCCAAGAGGUCGGUGUCUGGUCAGCAAACCCACCAGCGCAUCAAAAUCACAAAGAUCUCGUUGCUGCCUAUGAGAUGAUGAGUUACCAAACACUAAUCUGUCCACUGGGAAGGAGUCAACACGCAGGAAAGACGGGCCGAAAACGCCCUCUUUCAGUUAGUUUUUUUUUUGAAAGAUCUGUUUCAGUUAGUUCCUCAACUUGCUGCUACAAACCUAGUGAGGAAAGAACCACUAGCGACUUACCAGAGAACUAUCAGCUAGGCUAUGUCACGCACACGUCAACACAAGAGAUUCCAUUAGACACAAAUUUAAUAAAACGUCGUAAGUUCAAAAUUUAAUAUAUUUCUACCAUGGCUCAAAUAAAAGAGGGGUACAUGCUCCAAUAGUUACCGUUUGCUCCCCGUUUUACUGAGUUGUUCGGAAUAACUUAGUUCCAGUGAACAACUAGGGAUAAUAUGAUCCACCACUAAGGUUUCAUUCUUCAGAAAUGAUAAAUUUAGUAAACAGUAGCAUUAGACACAAGUUUUAAUUAAUAUAGAGGCAGAUUAUUUAAGUCACUAAGAAGCUAUAGAAAGUAAGAUGUAACCAUAUUAAAGAACCAUUGUAUGAUGACCACUCGAAGCAAAAAUAGAAAAAUGGCUUAAUGUUUAGGAUUCAUGACAUAUGGCCAUAUUUUUUUCAUUUUCCAUUUUCCAUUAUCUAUCAUCAUUCACAAUCUCAUAUACUGCAUGCAUGAUAACUAAAGAACAAACAGCCUGAGCAUAACUAAGAUUGUAGUGUUAAAUAUACAAAAACGAAGUAAGAGUGCAAACAUCUCACCAAGGGGAAUGAUAUAUAUUCAUGGAUUGACACUAAAAAUAAGGAAAAUAUAAAUCCCGACUUGUUUUUUUAAGUCCUUAUUUUUUAACUGCCUUUCAAUCAAUUAAGUCUAAGAAAAGAGGGAAGACCAAGAGACCGAACAGAGACAAAACAGAGAAGGAGAAACACAAAUCAUUGGUGAAAUUAAAGAAAAGAUCUUUGUUCUUAAUAGUAUCUAUUUUUUUAACGAACGAAGAACCGCUUAUUAUAUUAAAAAGAAGAAUAAACCCAAACUGGGUACAACAACAACGCACAAAGGUAACCUUCCACAGAUCACGCUAAACUCAACUCAACUCAAACCAAAACAAAUUCUAUGGCCGGUCGGAUUGAGACAUCAAUACAAGCCGCAUGCUAACACCUGAGCACUGAACCACCACAUCGCACCACCACAACCCGGGAAAAAAAGCCGACAAGUAGCCCUCAUUGCAAGCGCCGUCGUCCCUGACGAUAUCCCACACCGAACUAGCCGCUGCCAUGCAGGACUGGCUGUCGCAGUCCAUUGCAAGCCGUGUCGCUACCAUGACACCUCCACCGUGCCGUCAUCGUCCUCAGGUCACGCACACACGAUCCUCGAUCUCCUAAAACGGCCUUGCGUCGGAAGAAGUCAAAAGGGGAGCACACUGCACCACACCAAAAGGCCACCGCUAUGCAGGACCCAACGCUGAAGCACCGCUGCAGCACCGUACACACCAAACAACCAAAACACCACACCGGAUUCUAGCUCUCCAAGGCAACUCGAACGCGUGGAGGCCUCACCACUUCCACCGCUGGACUCCACGCCAAAGAUCCGGACUUGCUUUGCCACCGGGGGUGAUAUGGUGCCACCGAGCUGCUCCAAUAACUUCACCUCCACCUUGCCGCCGGAAUCUCAGUUGCCCACAUAGGUGGACCCAAAGCUUCAAGAGAUAAUGGCCCACCACCUUGGCGAAACCUAUCAGACGUUGGCCAAAGAAUGGUUUCCGGAAAACCACAAAGACAACGCCUCCAAGGAGGGAAACGGUACCCGAGGGCGUCGCUGUCAUCGUAGCCAGUAUAACUAGCUUAGGCUUUCGUCGGUGUUUCCGUACAGCCCAGCUCAUCACCAACGUCGACAGCAACACCACCCUAUCACCGGCGCAGAUCCUCAUCAGUGUCGCCAGGCAACCUCUUGCAGCAUACCUUUGCACGCGACCACCACCCACACGCGUGCUUGCGCGGCUCCGCGACAUUCGUGCUGCCGCCCAUGACCAGCCAUGGACCGCGGGAGGCCAGAACCGGUCGCAGGGACGCCGGGAAUUGUCCAGGUGGAACCAGAUCCGUCACUCCAGCAUCGGCCAGCCACCGGCACACCGUGCGGCUCCACUCGCGCCCGCCGCCGCCAGCACUGCCUACACCCUCCUCGCCGCUAGCCUCGCAACCCUGUGCAGCCGCCUCGCACCGACCCUCGCCCACGUCGCUGCAGAGCCACCGGCCCCAAUAGCUGUACUUGAGCCGUGUGCUAGAAAGCGCAGAUCCACUCUCGAGACCUCCACAGGCUUCCUCGUACUGCACCUCCAGACUGUUCCUCGCGUGCAGCCGCCGCUGGCCUCGCACAGCUGCCACAGGGCCGCCGCCAUGCGCUCGUGCGGCCGCCGCCAACCCCCACGCAUUCCGCCUACUUCCACUCCCGCACACAACCGUCAUCGCACCGCCUCCUGCUCCGUGCCGCCGCCAUCGCUACCACUCGCCUAUCCUUUACCACAGCCGCACCGCCCUCCGCUGGUCCGGACCGGCAGCCGCAGGGCCGCCGCCGCUUGGCGCUGCCCGUCGGCCACCGCAUCCUGACGCCGCUCCCCCAGCUUCGAGCCUAGAUCCGGCCCCGAAGGGAGUAGAUUAGGCCAAGAGGGUGGCAGAUCUAUGCCCGGAUGGUCGAAAUCGGUUGACCGGCCAUAACCACUGUCGAUGCAAACGAGAGGGCCUCACCGGCACGAGGGAGAAGAGACCUCGCCGCCACCUUCCUUGCAACCGGAUGGACUUCCGCCUGCCUGCUUGGGCGGCGGUGAGGAGAGGGACGGAGGCUGGGGCUGGCGGUGCUAGGGCCUCGGGUCCGCCCGAGUCGCCCCGAGGAGGAGCAGCUCGGGCGUCUUGCGAUUUUCAAUAGUAUCAUGCUACCUUUCUAAAAAAAAUCUAGUUGGUGCUCAACACGCUAUACGAGCCAAAAAGUUCAAUGGGGAAAGAAAAGAGUUUAACUGACUCCACACCUCCUACAUCAGUGGAUUUUAUUUAAAAUAGAGCUAUAGUAGACGGUAGUUGGCUUUGCCAACACAUAUCAGACGAUCACUACACAUGGAUGAAAAAAAUUCCAUCUGCCCCUUGGGCAGCGUCAUCCAGCGCCGCGCGGGUAUCCGGACUCUGUCCAACUUCAUCGCGCUGGUAUUCCAGCCGGCUUUGUUUUUGCGAAACGACGCACAUGCAUGCGGCUGGCCGCGCUGCCAAUCCACGGCGACUGCGGAGGCCUUUGGAGUUACCUGUACGACGCGAGUGGCGACGUGUGGGCAUGUGGGUGCCGCCGGCCGGCGGCGAGGGCUGAAGGGGUGCGUUCGACUCGAAAUAGGAAUCUCUCUACGUCAUGCUUGCAAUUGCGCAAGUUCUAAUCGGUGCUAGUGCUAGUAGCAGGCCAGCACGAUCAGUCUGGAUUCGUCUCCCAGGUGUCAACUUGAUCGCAUUGCUUGUACUGCCAGUUGAUGGAAUUCCGCAGCCCACAUUUUGGAAGAAAACCAUCUCGUCCAACCAUUACGCAGUAUGUGCUCUAGAAAGGUACGACUUCGUGGGUAACUCACGAUCUUACUUCUAGAGUUCUAGUAAUGGUUGGAAAAUUGCAGGCGUUUUCCACUUUGAACAUCUGAGUUUAGCAAUAGUGCCAGCAGUUCAGAAGGGAACCUUCUGCAGAUGGCGUGAUCCCGUACAACACUAGCUACGUACAGCUCGAUCAGCUCAGGGCAUGCAAGUCAAAAACGCAAAUGAAAAUCAAGCACACCGCAGUCACACGAAGAUCUUGACUUUGCAAUCGAGAUGGGAGAUGAGUUCGAGCAACUUUGGAUCGGAGAAACACUUUCAAUUUUCUUCGCCUUUAGUACUAGCAGCUGUCAUUUCAGUGGCAGCAACCGCUACACAGUCAAGAGCAUGUAGUUGCGGCAAUGCAGGAAGAAGAUUUGCAAGCUCAUUCUGCUUUGUUUUCCUUUGCUAGUACUCGUGGAGUCAACUAAUCAAAAUAUCCGGACAUUUUUUCCCCAUCUGAUCAGGCGACUUUCGAGUAAUUUCACCAAACAAAUAGACAAUGUAGCAUGGAGAUACAAUUCUGGUGUAGUACUGUACGCACGUGUUUUCAACUAAAUGGUACAGGAGUACACAACAAAUCAAAUUAGACGCUUGCACGUUUCAGAUUAGGAUGCGUGCAAGCCUAGAAGGAACCUGCUCGAAACAGUGUCUUUUUAUACAAUUAAAAGAACCCCUCAUCAAUACAUCUAAAUCACAACUUCACAAAGACCCUGUGCGACCUUUGAGGGGAUUAAUACCAUACUGAAAAGCAAGUCAACACACGAGAAGGACUUGCUGGUGAGUUCAGGUGGCUUACUUUCUUGAGCUGUUGAAUAAUUAGCUUUGCAGCACUUGUCAACAUGUUGCUGGACCUUACUGAGGAGGAAUGGAACAAGAAAACAAGCAUACAACUUACUAUUGAGAUUUUUUUUAAAAAAAAAUCGGCAACAUCAUACACAAUUGAAGACAAGAUCUUGCAUAAGAUACGUACAGAAAACCAUCGAAAGCUUGUAGCUGAAAUUGUAAAUAAAACCAUGAGUAAGGUAAAAUUAAAGUGUUCAUUUACAUUGCAUAUAAGAGCAGUUAAGAGGAAAAUUUACUUACAUCAAAAUUCAAACAAAGUUUCAUCUACAUUCCACAUAAUAAGGUACAUAAACACAAAAUCAAACACCACAAUGACUACAAGUCUACAACGACAAAUUUCCUGUUCGUCGACAGCUGAGGAACAUGGCUCAUUAAGAGCAGGUAACAAUGAGACCAGCCUACACCAUUGAGCUUAACAAGGACUGUAAUCUUAUCUAUGAACUGAUAAUUCAAUAGGUGAUCUCUCUGUACAUGGACCAUCAAAUUGGACCGAUGCUAUUUUCUAUCUGCACAGCUACUGCCAGCAUGCUUAGCAGUUUAAUUUGAAUAACUUCAUGUAAUCAGUGCAUAUGUCAACAAAAUAUUGAAAGCACUGCAUGUCUACUUCAUUUACUUGGCUAUCAUCAGGCGUUGUUUCUCACAUGAAGUGAUAAUGGCAACAUGGCUCAAUAAUUCUUUAUUCAUGACAUAUGGCCACAUUGAUUUUUUUUUCAAUUAUAACUCAUGACAUAACGACUAUAAAGUGAGCGUAUAUAGCUUGCUGCAGUGAUGCAGAUAUGAACUACAACUUAUGUCAAUAAUUAAUUAGUACUCAUCCUUUUGCAAACAUCUCAGGUACCAUGUGGGUCCAACCGGUCACAUCCACCCAUCACCCCUGAAGAUAAUAAAAAUUACAAAGUAAAGGAUGUCCAUGGAAGAAACGGACAGAGGCAAUUUAAAGCCAAUACACUGAGUAUACUAAAAUGUUUAAGAAUAAAAUAAAAGAACAAACUUUUUAUGGACAUGUUCUAUUAUGUUGAGGAUUUAAACAGAUGAGGGUUCUAUGUUAUCUGGUUUAGAAAUUGGAGGUUGAAAUUUAGACUCGUCAGGGAAAAUUGACGGUUGUAAAUUGAACCUUUCCCUAAGAAAAUGAAGGCUAUGGCAGCACGAUGGCUUGUUUGGUUUUGCUAGAAAUAAUGUCAUAUCUUUGGAACAUUACAUGAAAACUAUUGCACUACUUGUGGAAUACAAAAGCAAUAGAUGAAAAGGACUGGGAUUACCCUAUUAUUCGCAAAUUUGGCUUCACCGACCAAUUAGGUAUUAUUGCUGCACACAUAAUGAGUCCUUUAUUCCUGAAAGGAUACAGGGAGGAAGGAAACAUGAGCUUUCUAAAUAUAAUUAAUACGAAACAACAUCCCAGUAACUCUAGCAUAAUAUGAUAGUCAUACUAAUUCUCCAAAAGAAUAUAAGAAAAGUUCAUGAAAAAAAAGGGCACGCUCGACUUACCAAUAAUACCGGCAGCAACAGGUGAAAAUAUGAUGAGCGAGUGUGUAAGGGCUCGCUGGUGUUCUAUCACUGUGUACAAUGUCUUCAUCAAUGGCUGGAGACCAGGUGUCACUACCUAGGUCGUAUUGCUCAACAAGUGGGUGGGCUGGUCGCACAGCCCGUCUUCCCAACAAUGGAUUAAAAUCAUGUGUCUCAACCAUUCGAGAUGAUCUAUUUUUGCAGAUGAUAGAGUUACCCAAAAUAGAGGGGAACCUCUUAGCGGAGAUACACAAGGCAUGCACCUCAGAGAAGAUAGCAUGCUCUCCGAUACUCGUUAGAGGAGCAACUCUUCCCUUGGUAAGGUCUGAGACUCUGUAAACUACCAAGUGUGCAAGUGAAACGUCAGUGAAGCCAAGAACCAUGAGCUCCGAGCCGCAUUCUACCAGGCGGGCUGUACCGACGUACACCUCCGUCCAGCGGAGACUUGACGAGCAUCCUCGGUGGCGGCAGUGACAGCGAGUGGUUACCCUCGGCGCUCGGUUGUGGCGGAUCAAUCCGGCAGAUGUAUACAUUGUUCUUGUCAGCAGAAUUCACCGCCAUGGCAUAAAAUUUGCCUUGGAAAGACAUAGUUACUGCUCGCAAACGAGGGAGCUUCCAGGCCGAGAGGGACCAUCGCCGGUCGCCGGUAGCGGCAUAGGCUACACGACGUUUGGUGUCAAGGCACAGCAUGACUGUGAUAGCACCGGCGGCGUUCACAGUAACUGCCGCGCAAACUCCCCUGAGGAAGACACCGAGCUCGCGAAGCUUCAUACUCUCGGUCAUGUAGCGGCAGAUGUGUGGUUCAAUGUCCAUAAUCUGUGGCCAGAGGGGCAACACCGGUGGGAGCGGCGAUGUCGCCGGUGAAGGGGUGGAGGAGGCGGAUGGCGGUGUCGGGGUGACGGAACAGCAGGAGGAGGCCGUCGGCGGAGCCGAUGACGAUGUGGUCGUCGAAGAGCGGGAGGUGACGAACUCACCCGAGAUUGGGGUGGCCGGGGUAGAGGCCGUAGCCCUCGGGGAACAGCAUCCAGCGGCGCGGGUGGAAGCGCGGGUCGACGAGACCGCGGCCGCGCGGGGGAACGGUGCUCGAGUUCCAGUGGGAGCAGACGGAGCGGAAGCGGACGUAAUCCAGCAGGUCGCCGGCCAGCACCCGCCACGCGAUCAGCUCCAGCAGAUCCUGGGGCAGCGACGCCCACGGCUCCGAUCCAAGGAGCCGGUGCUUGCUGCUCCUGUCUUGGAUCAUCGUUGCCGACAGGGGGCGUUUUUGACACGACGGCGGCGAUCGACAUCCGGAAUUGCCGCGUAUCAGAUGAUCCUACCGCAGACGAGACGAUGAAUAUAACCGCGGAUGACAUGCGAGAUUGCUUGUUGUUGUUUUCUGUUUCCGUCUCGAUCCCGUGAUCGUGGAGACGAGCAGAACCGAGCAUAGAAAGAGUCCCGAUUGGAUUGGGUGUACGUGACAUAUGCUCGUUAACGCUCCAUCAGUUGAUUGCAUGGCUUUUACAAGCUGAUGGUAUUUCUCAACACAAAUUUUCAAGUUAGCUUAGGUCGAAGCGCCAAAUGUUUUGUCAUGGUUGAGAAACUCAGUUUUCCCUGCAAUUUAAGCUCACAAGUACACGGAGGUCGCAGACUGUGCGACCCAGUGUACCACUAUCCUAGUACACGGAGAUCACGAAUUUCACGUCCAUUCCUCUUUGCCUUAAACAUUUUUUAUUGCAAAUAAAGAUAUAGAACAGAACUUGUUUCAUUCUUGUACUUGUCAAAUUAGGACGUCUUUCCAUCAAAAGAAAUUAGGAUGUGUACCACGAGUUUCACUAUUCCAGUCUACCAAUGACCAAAAUUAAGAAAAUUCGCACUACUACUGUAAACCUGAUGGUAUACUUCGUUUCGUGUUAGCAAGGAACUUAAGGGAUCAAGGGACGGAAUCACUUCGGCAAUCUGCUGCCGAGUCUGCUGACGUACCGGCUCAGCAGGUCUCUCUGCGUGACCGCGUCGUCGUCCACCACACUGCUGACCUGCUGCCUGUAGCCGUCGUCGUGGUUGUGCGAUGCCGGCAUCCCAUCCCUCAUGUCAUCUUUAAGGUCGAUCAUGAUGUUGUUUAGCAAGCAGCAAGCGUAGAUGAUCCUUGGCAGCCGGUGCUUGUCCGGCCUCCACACCUCUCCCUUAAGGACCUGCCACCGUUCCUUCAGAUUGGCCAGGGCACCUUGCACCACCGUUCUCGUCGCGGCGUGACGCUUGUUGAACUCCACUUUCUCUGAAGAUAGACCAAGCUCUUGAUAUGGAGUCAUCAGCCAUGGAAGAAGAGGGUAGCUGGGAUCCCCAACAAUGUAUUCUCUGACCGUUGGCCCUUCUGAUUCUCCAGGAAGCUCCAUUUGCCCCGCCAGCCUUGAGCCUUUCUGGCAGAGCCUGUAGAAACCUGAGGUGCGCAGGAUGCACGAGUCAUCCAAGCUCCCGGGCCAGCCACAGACAACAUCUCUGAACCGCAUGUCAGGGUCAACAACUGUCUGCAGGACCAUGCUGUUCUUGUUCUCGCCGUCCAGCCAGACAUUGCUGUUAGGCUGCGCCGAAGAGCACAUGAGGAUGUGUGUUGUGUCCAUAGCGCCACAGCAGUUGGGGAGACCCUGGAUCUCUUCAAACUUUGCUUUGAUGGUUGCCAUCUCCUCAGGAUCAGGCCAUUUCAGAUGACCAGUAGCGCGCUCCUCCAAGCACUCGAUGAACUUCCAAGUGAUGUGUGAGAUGCUUGAGUGGUUCAUCCCAAAGCGUGUUCCUAUGCUCAUAAGUGACUCGCCAGUGGUCAGUCUUAGCAGAGCAACGCCGACUUGAUCCUCCACACCGAGAAUCACCUUGUCCCCAAACUUAAAAUUUCUGAAACUCCGUGUCUUUUUCGUGAAGUCCCCUUUAAUUAGAGAGCAAAGGUAGUCGAAGGUCCUCCUUAACAUCUUAAAGGCAGUCUCGAAGUUUUGGCAUUGUUUGGAAGGUUGUCCUGUAAAGGAAUCAGAUUGAAUCAUGUAUAGAGAUAUCAUUAUCUGAAUAACAAUGGAAAGUCAUUGUACAAGCCACCAUGAGAAAGACAUGAAAGGUUAACAUCUGAAGGAUUUAAGCUUAUGCUCUGCAUGGUUUUAGGCAAAAGAGGAACAUGAGCAAAAGACAUGAAAGGUUAAAAUCUAAAAUAUUAAUGUUUAGAAAGAUGGAAGGAAAUCAAGAUAAAGCAGUACAUUGGCAAAAGUGCCCAAAAAACAGCAGCUGAUAGAAAAGUUGAAUGAAUGAUUUUCUAUCAUUAUCUGAAGAGGUUAGGCUGUUUUUGAGGGACAACAAAAACAAGUUGUACAUAUGAUUGCACAAGAUACUUGAGUCGCGGUUCAGGACAAAACUUUCAGUUGAGUGCAGUUAUAAAUAGAUAGUUAAACCAUCAUGAUUUAACCCUUCAUGUGACCAUCUGACUAAAUCUUACUUGAUGCCUUGGUCUGCAUCAGAGUUUGAACUUUGAACAGGUAACUCAACUGUAUCUUUUUAGCAGUUACUUGAAAUUCGGAUAAUGUUACUAUUCAGCUUACUGUCUGCACAUAUGCUACCUGGUGAUUCAACUAACUUUUAACGAUAAGAGCUGAUUGCAGAGAGAACACUCAUAGCACUAGAGAAAGUCUCUCUAAACUACUUUAGGUCUGACCAAAAUAAAAUUUGCUAAACUCUUGUAGCCUUCUACAGUAUUUGUUCUCUCUUGGAAGGCCCAACCCAUAACCAUCUGCAAUUUGUACUCUCAGUAUGGAAAUAGUCAGAUGAAUCAAAAUAUUGCAAGGAUGAUCCUUCAUAUCAAAUCUACAGUUAGCUGUACAACUGAGACCAAGCAAGAUCACUAUGUGUUCCUGACUCUUAGAGUAAAUUCCUAACCAAAUUGUAGCUUGCUGGAUUAGUAUAGUCGUCCACAGCAAGCGUUUUGGCAAAAACAUCUUUUGGGAGGCUACAAGCCUGCAGACACUGACAUCUGCAGUUUAUACUCGUACACAUAUUGAUUGAUGAAUCUAAAUACUGCUAAGAUGGUCCAUCAAAUUUAAGGUCAAUUGUACAAUUGACACUAAACAAAAUUUAAGUUCCUCCAAUAAACUCUGUAAGCUCAUUGAACUAGUUCUACAUUAAUGAACUUGUGUAAUGAUGUUUUAAGAGGCAAUACUGAAACAGGAAUUAUCUUCAGAACUAGCGGGUAACUAUCAUUACUUAAAAUAUAGCAGCAACCCAAAUUGCUGGCGGAGUUAAUCAUAUAACCAGGUAGGCUUGAAUAUACUACACCCAAAUAAAGUUCGACUGUAUUAUUGGGGAAAACUAUCUGAGAACAGAAAUGUCAAUGUUCAACAACAACCAAUUAACAGCUAACUAUUAUUAACCAAACAAGUUUCACCAUCCUUCGCCAGACUGAAGAAGAACUGCUGUUUCUUCAGGCAAAUUUCACUUCGUCCCUUGCUGGGAUGAACUCAAGACAGGAGAAUAUAGUCCUCCAGACACGUUGCCAUCAACGGUCAAGCAAAAGAUUUUGGAUUAGGUUGGCACAAUGGGCAGAAUCAACAACACCUGUAACACCACUGCACCCGGUUUAACAGAUCUGGAAUGGACACGACGAGGCAACAAACCCACAAAUGGUAAAACUAAUUGUGACCUCAAAGCAACAAGCAUCGCCCAUACCCGUAUGCCUCGGUCUGGAACGCCCAUCCCAGUGGUUCUUGCCUCUGCAGUCUGUACACCUCGCAAGCCCGAUGCCCACCGGCUUCAGUAACCGCGAGCAAACAGCAGAUUCAUUACGCCUAGCGUCCGGAUUAAGAAGCACGGCGAGAGCAGAUUAAACAACGCGCCGAACGCACACGCCAUACGAGCACUGCAAAUUCAGCGACGGCUCUCCUAAUCUAGAACCGCGAAAUCGGUCCAGGAACAAUCCAAAAGGCGAGAGAUUAGCACGCAUUACCUGGGGCCGCGGCUGCGAGGUUACAGCGGCACAGGAAACGAGGAGCCGACAUGGUUAGGGACAGAGAGCACGCUGUGGGAGAUGGGAGGGAGAGGAGGGUGUAUGUAUACCUGCUGCAAGCCUGCGGGAGAAGGCGUCCCACCAAUCGCCGGCGAGGGGCUGCGGCACCGGCGGCGCCUGCGCCUGUGCCGGCAAGGCCCUCUCGGGCUUGCGCUUCCUCCGCUUGGCCCCCCUCAGCGGUGCCAUGACGAGCGCAACGCCGGAGAGAUCAAGAGAGGAGGCGGCUACCAAGCAGGCUGCGACACCCCAAAAUGACUUGGCCUUGAAAAGACCCUGCUGUUUAGUGACAAAGCAGCAGGCUGGUGACUAAGGGGAUGUUUGGGUCGCAUGUGCUAAACUUUAGCACCCGUCGUAUAGGAUGUUUGAUAUUAAUUAGGAGUAUUAAAUAUAGUCUAAUUAUAAAAUUAAUUACACAGAUGGAGUCUAAUUCAUGAGAUGAAUCUAUUAAGCCUAAUUAGUCCAUAAUUUGACAAUGUGGUGCUACAGUAAUCAUUUCCUAAUGGUGGAUUAAUUAGGCUUAAUAGAUUCAUCUCGCGAAUCAGCCUAGGGGUUCUACAAUUAGUUUUAUAAUUAGCUCAUGUUUAGCCCUUCUAAUUAGCAUCCGAACAUCACCUCGUAGCCAAACACGCCCUAAGAGUUUUCUAAAAAACAUUUCCCCAAAACUAUGUAUUGGAGGCUCUUUAAAAGAAAAAUUCUCAAAAACAUAUCAACCUACAACAGAUCGCUAAUAACUAGCCCCCAAUAUUUCAAAGCAGGCCAUGUCAUCGUAAUUGAGUCCUGCCCGGCGCCUCCGUACUCUCUCCCCAUUUAUUCUUUCUUCUUGUUCCGCGUAGGUCUCCCGCGUAUAGCACGCGGGAAGGAGUUGUUCGGGGCGAUCGGGAAAGAACCGGUCUCCCGCGUAUACGCGGGGGCGACAAAGGUGUUUUUAGCGUCCGCGUAUUUUUACGGAAAGGAUGGUGAAGCUGUUGGAAGUAAGUUUUUUUUCCUAAGAUCUUGUGAUAAUUUUAAGGAGCUUUUAAAGUUGCUCUAACAGAGCUGUGGCACAAGUAGUUCCACGGUCGCCUGUUGUUAUGCAGUGCUGCUCCUAUUGCCCAGUGCCCAGUGGCAUGCCACAACCAACAAGGCAGGUUAGGACGUUAGGCGUGGCCAUUGUCAUGUGCCAUGUCAACAGCCCCCGUCUCUCCUUCUGAUUCACUUUUCUGUGUGCUUGUCACCCUGUGAUGGGAGGCUAGGUUAAAGGGAGUGGCUAUUAUAUCCAAAUAUACCAUUAUUUAGUUUUGUAGAAAGGAGAACAAGUUUUUGAGUUCUCGUGUUCUUUGUAACUCGGGAAAAACAACCAAUUUCCAUCAUACGAUCCCUUUCAACCUCCGGGAAUCCUAAAUUCUUUAGGUUGACCUUUUGUUUAUCUUUUUUUUAUCUAGAUCUUAUUUUAGAACUCUGUAGGUUCGGAAUAGUUAAAGCGUUAUUGUGAGUGUGGUAUUAUAUUGCCAGGCUAGUCGGUGAGUUACUCCCUUGCACAAUAAAGUACGGAAUAGUUUGGUAUUCUUGGAAGGGAAUGGACCUAGAAACUUGACACUUUUUCCGUGCCGUUAUUUUGGGAGGGGGUAUAGUGCUAAAAUUUUUAGAAUUUGAUCGAUGUUUUUGUUAGUGGAGUUUGAAGCAUGCUAGGGUGCAUGUGCCCCUACCUGCUCCUUUGCCUCCGCGGCUUCGCCAGUGUUCUUGGGGUGUUGAUAGCGAUAUGUUUUUCAGUGCAUUAAUCUUGUUGUGAUUGUACCAAUUUUUAUAUGAACAUAAAUAUUUUUUUAAUAAAAUAUUUUAUUGCGUGUGAUGUACCAAACGUAGCAACAUUUAUAUCUACAGUGAAGUUCUAUGUGAAAUAAGAUAUGAUGGUGGCAGCAGUAAAAUAUGAAGAAUUAUGAAUUACGUGCUUGAAGACAUGCAAAGAGGCGGAUAUUUGUAGAAUUAGUGUCCUCGUGUGGUGCCUGAUGGUUAAAUAAUGGACAAUUCUUACCAUGCAGUUGUGUUUCUUUAAUUAAAAGAGUAAUACCAUACAUUAAGUGGUCCACUUCUCAAUCUAACAAAUAUAACUUCAUGCACGAAAUUAUCAGAAUCCAGUGUGUGGAAAUUAGGCAAACUUCCAAUCUUUAGUUUGGCUAGAAUUUUGUUGUUUGUUUGCUAUACAUUGGUGUCAAUGGCUACAUCUCCGCUUUGACCGUUGACUACUGAACUAGAGUCUCCGUCCCAUGAAAGUGAGCAGCCAAGCACCUCACGGGGGCUAUAAAGUUUACGGUCGCCGGACGGAACGCUCCGUCCGGACGUCCGGUCGACCGAGUGAGUGUCGGAAGGACACCCCCGUGCGGGUGGUUCCUUCCCUUUUUUACCAAAAAGUUAUAUAGAAAUAUUUUCCACACAAAAAAUUAUGGCAUAAUUUUUAUACCAAAUAUUCACGACAGAAGAUUCGUAGAAAAAUUUUGUAGAGAAAAGAAAAUUUAAAUGGAAAAAUAAUAUAAAAAUUUAUAAAACAAAUUUUGGAACAAAAUAAGGUAAAAAAUUUUGAAACAAAGUUUCUGAACAAAACUUUGACACAAAAUUUUGGAGAAAAAAAAUCGAACUGAGACGGGUGAGACCUGAGAAGGGGAAUGGGAGGAGAGUGGUGGGCCCACACGUAGGGUGGAUCGGUGCGUGUCCACCGGAUUCGACCGCUCGUUUGGAAGGUUCCGCUCGACUGUAAAUUCAGCACCGUAAUCCCCAACGGCCGACGCAUAGCAAACCUCGAGUCCCUGACGGCCUGACCCCACCCACGCCAUCCGCGUCCGUCGUCGUCAUCAUUAUUCCCUCGGGCUUCUUUUCCGCGCCGUGCGGCGCAAAGAAAGCCCAGAUCCGCCGGGUAGGCCAGGCCCAGUUGGCCCACCGACGCUGACAAGCCCGGCCCGGCAGCGAGCAACGCUCUCGGCUCUCCCGGAGUCGUCGCGCGGUAGGUGGGGCGGCGGCGUGGACGCGUCGCCGUCACGUCGCGUGGUGCGGAGUAGUGUGCCUGCCGCGCGACGCCCGCACCCUUCGUGCCGUGCUGACCACACGACGCAUCGCAAACCACUCCUCAAUUCCCCUCUCCUCCCGUCCGCAUUCGUGUCUCCCUCAGCAGGUCGGACUUCUCGCUCUCCAAGAACUCGGCGAGGUAACUGCUCUCCACACGCCCCUUUCCCCUAUCUCUCCUCACCUCCUAGCUUCCUCUCGUCGCUGUGAAUUCGAGCUCUUCCCCCGCGAUUUUCCACGAGGAAGGUCUUCGUGGCGGGUGGCUUCCCUGAUUGAUGGAUCCGUGGGGAUCCAGUGGGCUUGAAUUAAUAUGAUCUGGGGUCAAUUGGGAUUUGGGUUGUAGCGAUUGUGGCGUAAUUGGUGAGCGGGGUGCGAUUGUCUCGGUUUCGCAUGUGCAGAUCUGGUUGGUUGUUUCUGCCGAAUUUGUUGGGAAAUUGCUGGUUCGCAAGAUGUUAGGCAACUCAGGGAUCCGGUUCGCUCCGGGUUUGGACUUGGGAGCAUGCGGGAUGAGGUUAGCUAUGCGAUUGCGUAGUUGCCCGAUCGAUGUUGGGCAAGGGCAUGCCUUGUUCCCCUUACACGAGGCUAAGGUAACCUGUUGUCCGAGAGUGUCAUGUUUAUCCUGGGGGCUCUAGCUCGUGAUUUGUCAGGAUAACCAUGCUGACCGUCCGUGGGGGCAUUGGUCAUACAGGACUUCUCCUGCAAAAUUGAUGAGGGUCAACAGAUUAAAUUAGAGGUGUUAGAUGAAAAUUAGUUAGGAGAGGUGAAGAGGGCAUUACCCAGGUAGAAGCAUCACAGUGAUACAGCAAACAUACCAGCGUGUAAUCUGUACUGAACUCCUAUGAAGGAGCGCAUGUCUUUUGCGUGGUCUCAGAUAAAGGAGUAACCAUGUAGGAGCGACCACCUUAUGCAUGAAAUUGAAAUGGCCAAUCAUUCUGUAGUUACUCUUUGGCACUGAUCAUGCCUGAAGUACAUCAAAUCUUAGUCUUAUUGGUUCUACUAUUGUCAGCCUGUAUUCAGUGCACAGUAACAAUACCAGGGCUCUUGAUGGUGCUACUUCCUUCUGCAUUUGUCAGUAGAUAAUAUUAGUAUACACGUUUACAGAAUUGCAUCGCAGUGUUUAAAUCAUACCACAAUAACAUGUCUACAGAAUAGUAUUACAAUGUUUAAAUUACACUGCAACAGGAUGUCUGUCUAUCUUAACAGUUUGCCUUAUAUGCGCAGAAAGGCUUAUGGGCUGUCUGUCUCUGUCCAUCUCUAGCUAUAUAUGAAGUUAUAUAUGAAGCAAGAAGUUAUUAAUGCCAUAUUUAGUACACCUACAUGCAUUCAUCUAGCAUGCCUCUGAAUAAGUGUUCCUAUGACAUUGCUCACUGUAUAUCAGUAUAUGGCCACUGACCAGUACCUAUUUUGAUGUUUCUCAUGUUCUCGUGUACUUCCUAUAAGAUACUACAAAAUCACAGUUAAUGAUAAAACAAGGGCCUCUGUAUUUCCUUUUCUGUUGUCUACAGAGUAAAACUAUUGUAUGCUGUUUGCAUCUUAUUUUCCUGGCCCUCAGUUAUGAUUCUGUCAAUGACACAACUACUUUUAGUAUCACUGAUGUAUAUACUAGUUUUAGUGUUCAUCAUUCUAUAUCAAAUACAUCCUGCUAUGUCGCUAAUGCUUGUCUGGUUUUGCACUUGUCAGGAUGGAAAUGUUUUUCGGCAGCUUUCUCAGUGAAUCAGCAUCAUCACAGAACCUUUUUGGCCACCCAGAUGUUGAGAGAUGCCCAUUCCUGAGAAACAUCAAUGGAGCUACAACCUUUUCAUUUACUUCUGCGUUGCCAGUAGCUGUAAGAUCUGUUUCCUAUGACCUUUUGUGUUGGCAGCGAUCACUGUCAUUGGAUCAUCAGUUCCUUGACAAUAUGUGGUAUUGUGCAGGCCCGAGGAGGCAAGGGUCCAAUUUUUGAGGAUGGACCAGGCUUUGAGUCAGCAUUCAAGCUUUUCCAUGGCAGGGAUGGAAUAGUUCCCCUUUCAGAAAGAUCGUAUGUGCCUGAUGAGAGCCACAAUGAGAACAUUAAUGUGAAGACCGAACCUGCUCUGCCGUUUAAUCCAUUGGCUGCUAGAGCAGCCACAAUAAGUCUAUCAGCAUUUGGACCAUUUGGUUUUGGCUUUUUCAACGGCAAGGGCAAAAGGCAGAACAAGAAGCCCAACAAUCUAGAUCAGUCCCACCAGAAACCCAAGACACCAGAUCAGUCUUCCAUGAAAGUUUGUUCUGACGCUUCUUUUUUCAUUAUGCAUCUCAUUUCCAUCUGAUGAUAUGCUAUAAUUUUUUUUAUUCUUUCUGUUGUAAUAUCAACCCAGGGCUCAGUAUGUACUGUCACUUAUUUUACAUUUCAUCCAAAGUCAGAACAUUUACUAGCUAUUCAUUAGAUGGCUAUAUCCAAGGGCUAAUGUAGUUGCUCAGAAAACCAUAGCUAUCUCAUUCUUCCUGCCUUUAGUUUAUCUUAUUAUCUGUAUUCUCAUUAUCUUUCCUUUGUUCUUUUCAGCAAAAGGGAGUCAACCCACCAUCACACGAGGCAUUCAGCGAAGAAUGGUUGGAAAAUGGCCAGUGCCCACUUGCGCGGUCUUAUCGGGCAAUGAGUGGUGUUUUGCCCCUUGUCGCCAAGGCUUUACAGCCACCAGCUGGUAUGAAGCUGAAGUGCCCACCUGCUGUGGUUGCUAUCCGAGCCGCCCUUGCACGAACUGCACUUGUGAAAUCCCUCCGACCGCAGCCACUGCCUGCAAAGAUGGUAGCCAUUGCACUACUGGGAAUGGCAGCAAAUAUCCCUCUUGGUGUCUGGAGGGAGCACACCAAGAAGUUCUCUCCUCAGUGGUUCGCAGCUGUCCAUGCUGCUGUUCCCUUAAUUGCAAUGCUGCGGAAGUCUGUUGUGAUGCCCAGGACUGCGAUGGCAUUCACCAUAGCAGCCUCCAUUAUUGGUCAGACUAUUGGGUCAAGGGCCGAGCGCAUCCGUCUGAGGAAUCUGGCUGCAAUGGGUGCUGUUAAUGCUACAACAACUGCUGCCAUGUAUCCAAACAAGAAUGGGAAUUGCAGCGACACUGAGGGCAAGGCAUGGGAUCCCCUCGAGACAAAGAUGGCUGGCUCAGCUGCUAGGGGUGCACCUGCGCCAACCACUAGCAUGUGCUUCUGAUUGUGCUGUGCGUGUAAUUCACAGAAAUGCCUGCAGAGAUUAUGCCUCAACUACUUUAUAGUGUCAUGUAAUUGCCUUGCUUGUCCCUGAAAACUGAGCUGUCCGUGGGGCGAGACGAGUGGAAUAAGAGGUGCGUCAGUACCAAUAUGGCAGUGUGGUAUGUUAUUAUGGUCGGGGCUGAUGCACGUGUAUGCAAUUUGGUGCUGCUGUAUUUCCAUUUAAAAUUAUAGCGUCGGAUUAAAGAAAAGUCUUGAUGAACCAUUGUGCGAGCUAUUGUGGGAGCUUUGUGUCCUCUUGCGUCUGUUUGUUUUUGCCAAAGUGCCAAUUCCAUUGCUGAAUCAAAAAUCUUUUCUGAUAGCUGAGAUCAAGCUUUCACAUGUUCUUGGGAGAAGUUGGGGGAUGUGCAGUUUUAAAUCAUCUGGUUCUGCUUUGUAUCAUGUAUCUGUUAUGAAAUGUGGUGCUUCUGACGCUGAAGAGCCCUGAAAUUAUAAACUUCAACAUGUGCGGGGGGUAAAAUGUAAUCCCUGAUCAUUUCCUUGCCGGCACUGCUUUAUGUCUAACUUGAGAUAGCAUAGCAACAUGCAGAGAAUUUGCUGUAUGUAACCUGGGGCUUCAAUUCUAUUGCUCAUUUUUCCUGUGCAAGUUCUCGUUUUGUUUCUGAAGCUCGUUCAGUCCGUGUUGGUCUGCUCUGAAUGUUUGCUGGAACUGCGAUAUUGUGACUACUUGCUUGACGAAGAGUAUGCCUUACCAAUUCGAGAUGUGCCUGAAGCAGUGUACUCGCAUGUCCACCCUUCUUCUGCCAUUCAGAACCACGACAUACAAAAUCCAGCAUCGGACACUGUAUACGCACAGAGAGUUCAAACUGCUCAAGGACUUAAGAGGACGUCGGGUUAUGUUGCGACCAGUAACCGCUAGUGCGAACUGGGAACAAAGACUCCGUGGAACUGGCAGUCUGGCACCCGAGCUGAGUCUCCACCGUAAGAUAUCAGAUAUCGCCUGCCUCAACGAUGCAGAUGGUAGACAUGGCAACCAUGAACCAUCCCAAUCGUGUUCAACGCCAUAUCAGCAAGCAGGAAUCUAGCGGCAGAAACGUGUUAUGCUGGAGGAGUGCUGGACCACCCACGUGUGGAAUGGACCGGACGGACGGCUCAGGGAGGCUCACGUUUUCCGGUCAAAAACGAUGAAUUUCCAGCAGUUCUGAAUUCUGAUCUUCUUCUUCCCGUUCACCGGCUUGACUGUAAGUGGGUGGAUGCGACCGUCUUUCGUCCCGGGUCCUGCACAUUCCUGCUCCCUCUCCACCACCAGAUGGCAAUUGACAACAUGGUCACCUUUUUUAUGCAUGGCCACUCUUCUUCAGCCAUUUGUUCUCCAGUAGACUUGGAUUGAUCAGAGAUCCUGGCAAGUGGCAACGUCGCCAAAGCAAAUUCCGCCACCGGAUCCAUCCAUGUCCGGGCCCGACACACGAACUGGCUCGUGGGCCUCCAGAUGAACGCCCCCUUAAUACCUCUCACUCUCAGGAAGUGUUGGGGUGUGUAUUUGAAAAAUAGAUAUAAUAAAAGAAUUAAAGUGUAAAAUACUAAGAGUAAAUAGAUAUAGGCAGAGAAUGAUCGAAAGACCGAUUGAUUCAGAACUUUUCCCCAUCUACCUGUUCAUGGCUGAGCCUGCUCUUCUUCCCAAUCACAAAUCUCUACUAGAUCCACCCUUUAAUCUUCAAUGGAAAGAAAAAAAAAAUCUGAGUGAUCCGAAACUAGAUUGUCAGCGUGUGUAACCCCCUCGAGAGAAAAAAAAAAGGCGGCGUUCAAAGGAAGCAUGGAGACAGGGACAACAGAAAAUGACGAGAUCCACAGUCUUCCUGCUACCACGCCUGCUAAUGGGAUUGUAAUCCAACCGACACCAAUCCACAUCAAGCUCACCCCAUAUUUAUAUUGUCUAAAUCCAAACCAAUCCACCUACUAGUUGAUGAUAGAACCCAUAGGUUUGCUAUAAAAAAAUCAUGGUUUGCUAUAUAAACCUAUGAGCUCAUAUAAAAAACUCCUAUAUAUUUGAAAUAAAUGUGAGUUCGACAUGUGGGUCCUAUGUCAAGAGCCGGACUCUAAAACUAAAACAUCAUGUUCACGCCUUAAAAUUUUAACGAAAUUGAUCGAAAUUUAUUGAAGAUGACAGAGUUUGACUGUCCGCUACUUUAUGCUAAAUAGUAUAGCUAAACAUACAUUUAGACCCGCAUUACGAGUCGGACCUUAGAAUUAAAAUCUCACGUUCACACCUAAAAAUUUUAGUGAAAUUCAUCAAAAUUUGUUGGAGAUGACUCAAUUUGACUGCCCACUGCUUUGUGUAAAAUAGUAUGGCUAAACAUACAUGUGGGUGUCGCGUCAAGAGUCGGAUCCUAGAAUUAAAACCUCGCAUUCACACUUUAUAAUUUUAGCGAAAUUGAUCGAAAUUUGUCGAAGAUGACUCAAUUCAAGUGUCCGCUACUGUGUGCAAAAUAGUAUAGCUGAGCCCCACAUUAAGAGUCGGAUCCUCGAACUAAAACCUCCUUUUCACACUUUAAAGUUUUAACGAAAUUGAUUGAAAUUUGUUGGAGAUGAUUUAGUUUAAUAAUUAACUACUUCAUGUGAAAACGUAUAGUUGGACUUAUACAUGGGCUCAUAUCAAGAAUUGGAUCCUAAAAUUAUUUCGUGAAUCAAACUAAUGCAACCCACUCUAAACCACUCCCAAACUAUUUCCUCUUAGGAGUAAUCCAAACCAAACCAACCCAUUUGAUAAAUCAGUCUAUUAAUAACCAAUCUAAACAACUUCCAAAAGAAACCUAAUCCAUUGAAACCAUUAAACCCAAUCCAAUUAGCAUGAAUGCCUGCUACCACCGGUAGUGGUUUUGAAUCCCUAACCAAGUAACCAUUCCUUUUCAUUUCUUCCGUGCAGAACGUGGAACCCAUCGACGAUCACACGUUGGGGCCUUUCGCUGUCAAAAUCAGCACAUGAUAACCGUUAAACCCGUAGCCGGCAUGUGCAGAAACCCGGUGAAAUUUCUACGUACUCCUGGUGCGCUUACUUUUCCACUGUAUCAUCCUGUACCUUCCCCCUCUACCUUUUGGAGCACGUAAUAUAGUAGAAGAUGUAAAAAGAAUCCUUUGAAAAAGUUACAAAGUCAAAUAUGCUCACAUGUCAAAGCGUUAGGCUCUUGCUUUUCCUUCUUGAUUAUUCCCCGCUCUACCUGCUUCUUCUCGAUGUGACGGUAUACUUGAUCCAGUGAGUAAUCGCCCCUCCUAUCGCCACGACACAGCAUAUAUGCAGAGAGGGCAGCCAACCACUCCAGCGACACUUGCCGAGUAUGUACCAUGUCGCUACCAGUACUACGGACCACCAGUCGCCUUCGCCUCAGCACGAUGACGUGCACAUCCAAAUCAAAAGGCUACUGGAUGGAUGAAGGCCCCAAGUUGAAGUUGACUUGUAACAGUGGCUUGGCGCUCUCUUCGAGCAGUACUAGCAGGAGAGAGAAAGGUAGGGAAGCAAUGCCAUACGCUGGAGCAAAAAAUUUCAUGGGUGAUCCGGUAGCACCUGGAGCCCAGUUGAGCGAAGGGUGCUCUGGUAGAAAGGACAGCAUGUUUGUCAAGGAAAAGAACUGUGCUUUGCAUAGUUGUUGAUAUAACAUGUAGGCCCUGUAGAAAGGACAACAUGUUACGAGGAAAUGGUGUUAGGAUACUUGGUGCUAAACUUUAGCGGUGUCACAUCGGAUGUUCAUAUACUAAUUAGAAGGACUAAACAUGAGCUAAUUACAAAACUAAUUGCAGAAACCUAUGCUAAUUCGCAAGAUGAAUCUAUUAAGCCUAAUUAAUCCGUCAUUAGCAAAUGGUUAUUGUAGCACCACAUUGUCAAAUCAUGGACUAAUUAGCCUUAAUAAAUUCGUCUCGCGAAUUAGACUCCAUCUGUGCAAUUAGUUUUGUAAUUAACCUAUGUUUAACACUCUAAUUAGCAUUCAUGGACUAAUUAGCCUUAAUAAAUUCGUCUCGCGAAUUAGACUCCAUCUGUGCAAUUAGUUUUGUAAUUAACCUAUGUUUAACACUCUAAUUAGCAUUCAAACAUCCGAUGUGACUGGUGCUUAAAUUCAAAGUGGGACCACGAUUAGCACAUGACAAGAAAAACGCUCGUUUUUCGCUGGACCAGCUACCUGUGGCGUGGGCGCGUGGCUUCCUUUACCUUCAGGGAACAGCCUAUACGCUGCUCCUGCUCUUCCAGACCCGGCGCUUGCUUUCUGAACCCUGACCAUGAGUCCAUGACCAACAACCUCUUGGACGAGCCAGAGGAGAGAGAACACUCCAAGAAAUCGCUUCGGGGACCUGUUGGCUUGUUGCACUCCGCUUCCGGCCCAAGAAAAGCGCACGAUCGAUGACCCAGGGAAAACGUCACGGAACCGAGAGGAAUUCCGCGUCGCGUUUUUAAAAAUCUGUGCCGCACAGGCCAAGUGACGGCUCGUCGGCCGCCCCCCGUUGCUUGGGCCUUGGCCUUGCCUUUGCUUCGCGCAUCCGUACAUCACACCUUACGUCCGCCGCCGCCGUGUGGACUCGCCCUCGCCCUCGCGCGGCCGCGGCCGACGUGGUCCGCGCGCCCGCCGCGCACUAAACUACUAUGCGGUAAGCGCCGGUGGAUUUGGCCGUCCAAGCUACCGGCGCUGAGCACCGUCUUUCUGCCGUGAAGAAAAGGUCACCGCACUUUCGAUUCGUCAAGAUAUGCACGUACAGUCACGGAACAAAUAGUCAAGAGGCAUGUACAUGUACAAGCCAGGUACUACAAAGACACAGUGACACAAGCAACUGGCCGGCCGGGUCGACGAUGAACGAGUACUCUAACUAACCGAAAAAGCCACCGGCCGAAAAAGAUUCUGGACGCGCGGCAAAAGAAAGCACGCAACCUUUUUCGCUACGUGCCUAACAGUGCGUUCCGAUCCGAGGCGCCACGGGGGUGUGACCAAGUGUGAUACGUACGAGUGCGACCGCGGCACGUUUCUUCGUGUCCAAGGCCUCUCUCAUCACAUCGGAGUGGCUGGCUGGCUCGCUCUCAUCGGCCAGUUCGCACGCGGGCAAUCCACCGAAAAGCCCUGACGUGAACGCCUCUUCCUUCACACAUGGCCGUGUCCAGUCACGCACACAAACCCAUCUCGUCAGCGCGCACGCACGGCCCCGCCUCGGCUUAUAUACCAGCACGUACGUGCGCGUAGGGGUGGAAUUUUUUUUAGCUCGUCUCUCGAUCGAUCGAUCGAUCGCCAUGACGCUUACGAGGCACGAAGCGGAGGACAGAAGGGAGAUGGAGGGGCUCCGGGCGGACGCCGUCGCGCGGCUCUCGCUGUCGUCGUCGCCUGAGUCUUCUUCUUCGGCGGCGGCCGGCGGCGACAGGCCGUCGUCGUCGUCUGCCGCGAGCAGGAAGGCCAUGGCGGCGGAGGGCGUGUUCGAGUGCAAGACGUGCAGCAGGCGCUUCGCCUCGUUCCAGGCGCUCGGCGGGCACCGGACCAGCCACACGCGGCUGCAGGCGCGGAUGCUCAGCGACCCGGCGGGCGCGGCGGCGGCCGCCGAGAGGGACAGGGCGCGGGUGCACGAGUGCGCCGUCUGCGGGCUCGAGUUCUCCAUGGGCCAGGCGCUCGGCGGGCACAUGCGCCGCCACAGGGGGGAGGCGCCGCCAGCCUCGCACGACGGCGCCGCGCAGUCGGGGCAGGCCAUGCCGGACCUCAACUUGCCGCCGUUGGAGGACGGCGACGGCGGCCAAGAUCAACAACAAUCGGCUGAUCGGAGCUCGGAGCCUCAGCUGCUCAACCUGCUUGUAUAGCUAGCCUAGCGUGCACAGCAUAUUACAUAUGUGCAUGGUGAUUCUAUGGUGUACAGUACAUGAGUGGUGAUUAAAUUUUCGGAACCUGAAAUGACAUGAAAUUAUACAUUAACUGUAGCUUCGUUUCAUAGGUUAAGUCCUUCUUAAUUCGGUAGGUUUUCCUUUUGUAAAGCUGUUUGUCGACUGUAAUUCGUUUGUUGUAAGUAAAAUUGUCCAUAUAUUAUCUGACAGCUUGCUGCCUCAAUUAGUGGUUCGGUGGAGAUUGUUAAUUGUACGAGUCUAUCAUUCAGUUUUCCUAAAAAGAGGUGGAAGUGUUUCCGAUGCGAGACAAAAAUAUUCCCAGAAAAUCACAGCAAAGAGCUGAUGUUGUGUUUGUGGAAUUUGUGAUUGGACCUAUCAUCUCGUCUUCUUCUCUACCGUCGGUUGGCGUGGCCCUUCACCACCACACCUACCCGUCAUGCCGCCUCAUGUGCAGGUGCAAGCAUCUCUGUUCCGCGCCCUUCCUUCCCUUUUCUCUGCACGCAUUACUACCGUCCUAACCCUGUCUUCAUUGGCGUCGUGCCCUGCACGCCGCUCCCUUCCUUCCCCUUCCUUUACACACCAUCAUUACCGUCCUAACCCCCACCUCUGCUGGCGGCGUGCCCCGCAUGCCGCGCCCUUCCCCCUUCCGCUACACGCCAUCAUCGACGUCCUAACUCCGCCUCCGUUGGCGUCGUGCCCUGCAUGCGGCGCCCUUCCUUUCCCUUCUUCUACAUGCCAUCAUUGCCAUCCUAACCCCGCCUCUGUUGGCGUCGUGCCUUGCACGCCGCGCCCUUCCUUCCCCUUCCUCUACACAACAUCAUCGCCAUCCUAACCCCCGCCUCUUUUGAUGCCGUGCCCUGCAUGCCGCGGCCUUCUUCCCCUUCCUCUACACGCCAUCAUCGCCGUCCUAAUCCCGCCUCUUUUGGCGCCGCGGCCUUCCUUCCCCUUCCUCUACACGCCAUCAUCGCCAUCCUAACUCUGCAUCUGUUGGCCUCGUGCCCUGCAUGCCGCGCCCUUCCUUUCCCUUCCUCUACACGCCAUCAUUGUCGUCCUAACCCCACCUCUAUUGGUGUUUUGCCUUGCACGCCGUGCCCCUCCUUCCUCUUCCUCUACACGCCAUCAUCACCAUCCUAACCCCGUCUCUAUUGGCGUCGUGCCCACGCGCGCCCUUCCUUCCCCUUCAUCUACACGCCAUCAUCGUCGUCCUAACCCCGCGCACUGCUAAUCAUGGCAGCUUGUCAUCCCCGGCACCAACUUCCAGCUGUAUUCUACUGCUCUGGCCAGCGGCUCCCACCAUCUUGUCUCAGUAAACCGACCAUCCAAGCUCCUUUCUAAGUCAGAGGAUAGCAAAUAAACCCAACCCCCACCCUAAAACUCGAACCCAUCAACAUCUUAAUGGUGCAAUGCUCCUAAGGCAGCAUCACUAAUAUAAAAACCAAUGGAAGAAAACGAAACGGAUCUGACAUCCAACGGUGGACACAUGUAUCUAAGAUAACUUAGGCUCUCUUUUUUCAAAGAUGAAUAAGAACCCGGUUAAGAGUUGAUAAAAGUCUAGGCUGAACUGAAAAGUCCAAUUACCGUUACCGUUCACCUUUUUUUUUAAAAAAGUAGGCCGUUCACUUUUUAUUUGGGAAAUUUUGCAUUUUUAUAUAUAUUUUUUUCGAUUUUGCAGAAAUAUAUAGUCGGAUGAAAAAAUUGCAAAACUAGGCUAUUGUCGCCGGCCCAGUAGGCUUUUUUUCAUCCGACUAUAUAUUUCUGCAAAAUCAAAAAAAAAUAUAUAAAAAAAUAAAAAAAGUUCUUUAUUUAGGAACUUCGAGAGAAUCUGUGGCCCAACUCUUGCUUUCGCGAUAGUUGGGCCAAACAUUUUAGGCAGCUCGAGUCCUGCCGGGGCUUCUGGGAACUUCUUGAGCGUGUCACAGGCUCACAUCCUCACACACAGGCCACUGACGGCGCCACAGCAGCUCAUCGCCGGCUCGCCGCCACCACCAACCACCGUUGCUUCCUCGAGCCCAAUGCCAAAGCUUCCCCAAGCUUGCCACCGUUGCAAGACUGCUAGUCUGCUACCGCUCCGAUCUCGUAGUCAGGAAAGGGACUGGUGUGAGAGGAAAUGGAUCAAAAGUAGGGAGAGCUCAGAGCUGACCAUGGGGACCGGUGCUGAUGUGGAGGCAGACAAGAUGGAAAGAUGAAGUACCAGUAGGGGCAAAAUUGUCCAAUUAUUAGGCUCCUAUUUUUGCCAAGCACACCCCCAAAUUUACAGCUUCACCCAGAGCCUCUUCCCGUAGGAGCCAUCUCCUAGCUGGGGUAAGACGAAGGAAAAGGAAUGCAGUACAGUCGAGUAGGGUACUGCUUUCCCGAGAUUCCACACAUCUCAGAACUGGGAGGAAUCGGAGGACGAGAAGUAAUGAUAGCAUUACGAUUUGGCACCGUGCUACCAUGUACCGUGGAUCACGCGGCCAGCUACCACGGCUCGCAUUCAUAAUCACGCCUAACGUUACGUUAACACUUGGAACUGACAAGUGACAACCCCAUUAGCACAGCAUAAAUCAGGUUACAGGACAGUAUCAAGUUCAGACAACGACGCAGCACAGGCACAGCACACAUAUUGACAGGGCUCACUUCACUCGGAGAAUCACAGGCAGGAUCUAGCAAGCAGAUGGAAACAAACUGGACUACAGGACAGUUAUCUACUGUUCCCCACGCAAGAAGCCACGCAGGCGCCGCCACCACUCGAUCGCCAGCUCGCCGGGAUGACGGCCGCAUGCCACCGGCGACGAGGACGCAGUCGUCAUCCCUUGUUAUUAUUCCCCUGCGCGGUGCAGGAGAUGACCAGGUAGCCGCCGUCUCUCUUGGCCUUGGGCUUCCGCGGGAUGCAGCGGUCAUGCAGGUCCCCGGCCUCCUUGGCCAGCUCCAGCUUUAUCACCCUGCCAGACAGACGCAUGGUAGUAAUAGUAGAGUUCAGCACGACUCGGAUCAUCAUAAUCAUCACCGUAUCACUAUCUCAUCAUCACUAUUCUCGUACGCCGUCACUCACAUGGCAGUAGAGUAUAGUACUCUAUACUACGAUCUCUCAUUUCCAUGCGCUAGUGAAUGUAGAUUGUGCCCACGCCUAAUUAGGGCUCUGUACGACUGGACCACGGAUUAAAAGCGGGGUUUGAAAUUCCUGACAAAGGCUGCUGUUACAGGCUCACAUCAUGACAUCAGGUUACUCUUUCAAGAACUGCGCAGUAGUACUGCAGGUUUAUGAGUAGCUUCAGGCUAAUCCUUCUGAAACGUAGAGCGUACGCGCGCCAAAAGCAGGAUGAACCAAAUGAUUUGGUGCUCCCGAUUACCGGAGCCCCGAUCCUGCCCGGCUCGCACGGAACGGGAGCAGGUCGCCAGGUCCCCCGGCCGAGAAUUGAAGCCCACCCGUUCCUGAUGAAAUUCUUCGCUACCCCUCGUCCCCGCGAUCAGUGCGGCCGUGAUGCCUGGUGCGCGACAGCUCCACGAGACCUACUUCUAUUUAUGGAGGUGACCACUAAUGGAGGCUGGAUGGAGCGUAUCUCGCGCGUACGGCAAUGGCGUGGUGGGUUCAGCUGCGGCGAUGACGAUGAGCAGAGCCAGAGCCAUUACUGCCGAUUACGACAGGGCGGUUCAAUGCAACAGUGGCAGCUCAUCCUUACUACUACUGCCAUCCAUGAGAGGCGUCUCGCGUAAGCGACGGAUCGGUGAUCCGGGCGCUUGCUGCGGCUUGCGUCGUCGCGUCAAUUAUGAUUACGAGAGGGAUGGAUUUCUUUUUUUCUUCACCUGUCUGCGUUGUACGACGACGACCGCCGGAGAACGGCGAGGUCCUGGGACGUGUCGUCGUCGCCCGACGAGCGCUUCGCGGUCUCGAUGAUGCUCCCGCUGAAGUACUCCUUGUCCUCCACGAUCUUCGCGCGGUAGGUCGGCACCUCCGCGGCCGCCGACGCCGGCGGGCGGGGCGGGCGCGCGCGGUGGCGGUGGUGGUGGAGGUUGUGGUGGUGUCGCGCGCGCGGCAUCACCGGGGAAGCACGCGCGUCGCGCACGGACACGGACCCGCACGAGAUGAGCUGCAUGAGCACGGAGGGUGCCCGGGCCCGGCCGCUGCCGCUGAUGGCCGCCACGACGCGCCCGUCCGCCUUGAUCAGCGCCUCCAGCGUCUCGGGGCUCGUCGACGCCGUCGGCGGUGACGUCUCCGCCCGGCUCAGCUCGUCCUGCGGCGCGGCGGCCUGGGCAUGGGCGCGCCUAGGGUGUCCGCGGCCGCCGUCCUCGGUCUGCGUCGCGGCGUCCGCGGCGCACUCCUCACCCUUGUACACGACGUACUCACCGAGCCCAUCGGCCGCGCGGCGCGCGCCGGCGCUCUUCUUCCGGUGCGCGUGCGCCUCCCACCUGGCGGAGGACGAGGAGGUGGGCGUCUCCUGCGAGCCGGAGGACGACGAGGACGCGGCGGCCGCGUCGAGCAGCGGGGCCGGCGGCACCGCCGGGUGCAGGCGCUCGGUGCCCUUGAGCACGUACUCCCGGCCGACCACCGGGUGGAUGUAGUCGUCGUCCGCCAGGUCGUGCCACACGAACCCGUUCCGGUAGCUCCUGCAUUGCAGUUGCAGCAAUGAACACAUGUCACGGCGUGGUGCACCAAACUCGUGACGAAAACGAGAAGCACUCGCGCAGACACCUACCUCUUGGAUGCCCACGAGUACAUGCGCGCCAUGCCCUUGCCUCGCAGCGCGUCGAGCCGGUCGAUCACAUCUACGCGCACAGAACGAAGCAAUGGCAACACGUUACAGAACGCUCAACGAACGCCAUUGAAACGGAAGGCGAAAUGCCAUGAGAACGAAGCAUGUGUGAGCAGAGCAUUGGUACCUCGGAGGUAGAGGCCGUCGGGGCUGGAGAGCGCGACUUCCAUGAAGUGCGGGUGCUCGAGGUGCCCGUUCCUCGACAGGUAGUACACGACCGCCGGCCUCGGCCGCGGUGGCCUCGGCGGCGCCGCCGCCAAGUCGGGGCUCCUCGGCUCCUGCUCCCGCCUCUGCAUCCUUGCCUGCUCCGCUCUCGCCCUGCUGCCCGCCACCACCACCGCCAUGCGCUCUCUCUGCCACUGAGUAAAUUGAUGCGCGGCAGCUGGCGUCUCUCCUCGCUCGCUCGCUAGAGCUCGUAGCGUUUAAAUGGCGCGAGUGCGACACAAGGGGAGGUGCGAAAGGGAGGGCUCAGGGGCGCAGCGCGCAGUGCACUGCAAGAGGCAUUCAAAUCGUGUGCCAGGACCAGCGUGGCGGCUCCUGCAAACCGCAGCGCUUUUGCGUGGCUUGGUGCACACUAAUGACCGCAGUGAAAUUAAACUGUGGAGCCUGUGGCUGGAGGAAAAAGGAGCUGAGAAAGCUUGGUAGGAAAGAACUCUUUGCGAUCUUGUUGCUUUCUCCUUGGUUCCUCUUUCCUUGGCGUCCUUGAGGUCAACUGGACGCCGGAAGCAGCAGUGCGUUUUGUUUGGCAGAAGACUGUCCUGCUGGUUAAGUACUGUACUGCUUCUAUCUGGUAUAGUUAAGAGGAGCCUAAUUGCUGUCGGUGUUGACUAGGUAAUGACUAAUAAGGCUUGCCGGCUGUCAAAGACUGCCUAGUCUAGAGGACGGUGAAAAUGGCAGCUGGUUUGGCGCUGCCAAGGCAGUUGUUUUAUGCUUGCCCCUUCGACUCGCGAGGCCCACGCAAACACGAGUCUGGGGCACGGCGAAUCGGCGCUGACCAGACGAGCCGGCGAGUCCAAGUGCCACAGUCCCUGGUCCAAGUCCAAGGCCUAUCACAGUCGCACUGUAAAAAAGAGGCUUAGAGGGGUUCGGAUCCUGAGGUUAAAAUUUAAUCCGUGUCAUAUCAAAUAUUUGGAAGCUAUUUAGGAGGAUUAAAUAUGAGUUAAUUAUAAAACUAAUUACAUAGAUAGAGGCUAAACGGCAAGACGAAUCUAUUAAGCCUAAUUAAUCCAUCAUUAACAAAUGGUUACUGUAGAAGCACAUUGUCAAAUCAUGUACUAAUUAGGCUUAAUAGAUUCGUCACGCUGUUUAAUCUCCAUCUGUGUAAUGAGUUUUUUUAAAUAAUUUAUGUUAAUUAGGAUCUAAAUAUUCGAUAGUUCCUUAGUCCGCGAAUCAAACACCUCUGAAUAGUCCGCGAAUCAAACACCUCUGAAUAGUGUGUACUUCGAGUCCAGACCGUUCCAAGUUUCCAACGAUUUGUUUAGUGGCUCUGAGGUUCCAUGUCCGAUGCAUGCCCCGUGGCGUGGCCGCGCACCAUUACAUAAUAAUCCGUGCAUCAUGUGAGCCGCCCGAGCACGGGUACGCCGCGCCGAUGUUGGUAAUAACAUUUGGAAGCAUUUGCGUGCAGGCGAAGGCUGCAAUCCCUGUCCUGCCCACUUGGGGCCUCCGAGUUCCAACCCGCUGCUCUGCUGCUGCAUUCCUGCAUGGGAGCAGGCGGGGACAAGUAUGCUAAUCCGAGCCACGUGACAAGGAUCAGGCAGGACCACGCUAACAGGACUAGGGGCGGUGCUGAGGAGGAGCCACAAUUUGGUCCAGUUUGGUUGGGUUUUUUUUGUGCUCGAACUUCACCUGCCACCGGCUACUGUAGCAUGUCGGUAGCCUCAAGAAGCCGAAGCUAGCAGGUUUGUGAGGGGGAGGAGAAAGAGAGAGAAAAGAAGCUCCACACUAUAGUAAAUGAACAAUAGAUGGUUAGAAGGAGCCGCAUUCAGGAGGUUCUCCACCAAACUGACUCUUUGUGCCUCCUUCGGCUCCUCCGCCGGCUAUGAGAGGGAGAGGAGGAGAGAGAAAUUUAAUUGUAAUGAACAGUGCACGAACAGUAGAUGAACAGUGCGGUGUCGGAGCCGCGCCAAGGCGCCCUGGUAUAUCCCGAGAUAAUCCGAGCCCGCUUAGGGUCGGUCCCCAGUGGUCAGGCAGCUGUGAUUAACCACCACUCCACCAGGCGAUUAUUUACUGGAUCGAGAGCGGAGGGGACAGGCGGUGAGGACAAGCGGGAGACUCCACCGGCUACGGAAUGAGGCGGGCAACCGCAGGUGCGGAAAGCGAGAGCGCACGACGGGCGGGCGGCGACACCGGGGGCGGGGAGGGAGCUCGCGGGGCGCGCGGGGGAUCGAGACUGCGUUUGACUCACGGCGGAGAUGGACGGGACGCGCCACCGCCGGGCCGUUCCGGCGUUCGAGAUCCGCCGCCUCGUGUGGAGUUGUUUUCGCCUUUUCACAGCUCGUCUUUACCGCGCCCGGUAAGCGUAGCGCAGCGCACUGAUUAACCGCUGUGGUGGCCGGUGGUCGAGGCGGGCAAUCGAUCGAUCGCGUUCACGCUGCCGGUAUCGAUGUCAGAGGCACCUCAGAAGCUCAUCGUACUGGGCUCGACACUUUUCUUUUGUACCCUACAGAUGAGCGGAUUUGGCGGGAUACAAAAGGAAAAAAAUGCAUGUAGCUGCUGGCAUGUGAUCUAUAGCUCGGAGCAAAGUCCACAUCCGUUGCGUCGCACAGGUUUCCAAGCGCAGCAAAUCACCGAGGUUUUAGUUUAGAGCUGGAAGCUUGUGGGUAGGCGUAGGCGUCGCCGCGCAGCACAGCAACCAGCAAGACGCCACUUGAGCAAUGCACGGGUUGAGGACAGAGUCAUGCGACGCGUAUCGUCCGGUCUUGCGAGGAGAAGAAGCCGACGAGGCCAGAAUCACGGAGGACGUAACUCUUGCCACUGUUCCGUUAGCUGUUUGCUACGGCCGCCCUUUUUUCACGCACCGCGUUGGUCCAGCGCACGCCUUGACGGGAGAGGACAAAGGACGGGAUCUGAUCGGUUACCUUCGAUGCGAUCGGGUACAGGCGGUUGCAGAGAACAUGCGCGGUAGGAGGACGGUUUUUUUUUUCUUUUUCUUUCAGAGGAUCUCAGAGUCAGAGUCCAGAACUGCUGUUAGCUUGUCACCUGCUCUCUCCCUGGUGCGUGGGCCCAAAGCGCCGCCUAGAUUAGCUCACAGAGGCCCAAACAAAAGGCCGGAAGUGCAUUAAACAAAUAGAAUACUAGUGAAGAAGAAAGAAGCGUGCAGGCCCAUGAAGGCCCGUCCACACCUGUCGCCAGGCCUGUUCGACUCAUGAAUCGAAUGGCAGGCGAGCCCAAACCUAGCUAGCGCAUCAGGUCCGCCGCACUAAGCCCGCUCGCAAACCCCUCACAACCCUCGCCGCCGCCGGCCGCUCCACCCCCGCCGUCGCCAUGGGCAACUUCCGCAAGCUCGGCCGCCCCGCCUCCCACCGCGUCUCCAUGCUCAGGUGUUCCUUUCUCCCACCUCGACGCCCCUAUCUAUGGCUCGGCACCGCCUUGCCGCUGACCUCUGGAUUUGUCUCCUCGGCAGGACGAUGGUGUCGCAGCUGGUGAAGCACGAGCGCAUCGAGACCACCGUCGCCAAGGUACUCUCUUUCGCAUCUUGUUGCUUCGUCGAUAGGCCGGUGGGAUUUGUGUUCUAGGAGCUGUGAUUGUUGACUUGAGUGCCCUGCCCUUCAUUUGCGUGGUUGGUUUCAGGCGAAGGAGGUGCGGCGGAAGGCGGAUCAGAUGGUACAGCUCGGGAAGGAGGUAAACGGAACACCACUCCUCUGUUGCUAACUGAAUUCCAUCCUGAAAUAUCGUGCCAUUCCGUGGUAUCGAUGAAUCUAUGUGGAGCAGUGGGUGUAAAACAACCUAACAGUCAUUUCGUUAAGUUCGCACAUAGAUUGGAAACAAUUGUAAGCAUGGAAUCACUUAGCGUUACUACUCCUGGACUCUCAAUUAGCAGUGUAGAAUUCAGAUUCAGGGAUGUGUCUUCAUGAGACGGGUAGGCAUUGUUGCUUAACUUGGAGGUGGAGUGGUGGACACCAUUAGUUGCUGAUUAGCACUUUAGAAAUAGUAUUGCCUGUCUACUGUUUGACAUUAAUCUUUAAUGAAAUCUCAGUGAGAUGCUUAGAAGUAGCUUCUUUAUAAGUAAAUUCAAAUGUUGAAGUCUCUCAGCUCUUGUCGAAGAACUGAUCGAUGACAAUGAUGCUAUCAGACCAAAAUAUGUUGAUUUCUGGCAUAGAAGUUACUCCCUAUCUUUUUUUUUGAAUUUUUAUUUACUCCCUGAUAUGUUAUUAUUUCGUAAAAGGGACAAAUUUUUUUUGCAAUGCCUUUAUCUUGAAGUUUAUAUGCAGCCCAAACUUUUGUCUGACCUGGGUUUCACGUUGAUUUUGGUAACACUGUCUCGAAGCUAAAAAUGCAGAAACUUAUGCCGUAUAUCGACACAAAUAUGUAGGGUACUUUGGAUGCGGCAAGACGUGCUUCUGCCUUUGUUCGGGGUGAUGAUGCUGUUCAUAAGCUAUUCACAGAGCUGGCCUACCGCUACAAGUAAUCUAUUUUACCUACCCAUGGAUCUGCUUAAUUUAGUAUAGUCUGGCGUACCUACAUUUGAUUUGUUACUUCCUCUUUUUCAAAAUAGGUCUCAUGUUGAUGUCUAAAGUAGACAACUAGGCAUAAAAUAGCAUGAGUAUCAUAUCAGUAUUUGAUGUUUUUUUCUCCAGAUCCUUAGUAAACUUCAUUCAGUGAAGGAGUAUGAUGCUUUGUAUGAUAAGACAAAUGAGAAAAGUAGAAAUAGAUUGCUGUAUAUUUGGAAGCAGAGUGGAUUGGAACUAAUUGUAUGCUCCUUUUAUAUCCCAGGAAUCGAGCUGGUGGAUACACAAGACUUUUACGCACCAGGAUACGUGUUGGUGAUGCUGCAGAAAUGGCUUACAUCGAGUAAUAUACUUUCUCUAUAUUUUUAGCAGCAAAAUGUGUUUGGCCUACACCAACUUGCUUGGGACUAAAAAUCUUUGCUGCUGCUGUUGUUAUUUCUAUGAGAAAAAAAAUAAUUUCUAGGAUAUCUUUUCCACAUGGUGCUGCUAUCUUGCACAUAUCAAAAGUAAAAAUUUUAUUUUCUGCACUACCUUUAGUAAUCGUUCCUGCUGGUUAACCAAUUAGGUCUUAGAGAUUUAUACUUCCAUUGUUACUGUCUGUUACUAUUUACAAAUCCCUUGAUAUGUUUUAGAAAUCUGCCACGUUCUAACAGUACAGAAAAGUUUUGGAUCCCUCGAAUUACUUUAGAAACCAAUAUGGUUCCACCCAAGCAUGCGGCUUUUCUUUACAUCGUACAUCGAACACUGAAUGGACAAUUUUGGCGCUAUUUCCUGCUCUUUCUGUAGGUCACUGUCAAAUCUUUUCUGAGUUAAGCUAUAUACUGUGAUGAACAGUUCAAUUUGAAUUUACUAGCAUAGCAGCAACAUGUCAUAUACCAGUUUUCGGAAGCCUUGUAGAGAUGCGGUACUUAUCGGUUACAUAUGCAGGUUCGUGGACAGGGAGAAUGAGCUUCGAGAGGCCAAACCUGCAACCCCACAGCCGCCCCAACGAGCCCCUAUGGAUCCGUGGGCCAAGUCUCGUGCUAGCCAACAAUGGGCAGGACCAAAGCUCACCAAGAGCUCCGGAUCAGACGGCUUAUGAGGACAAUAGCAGGCGUAUCCAUGUUCUGAAUGAGGCUUCAUUUAUUUGCUUGAUAUGCAGAUGGGAUUCUUUUUUUUGGUUUAGAGAUACCUGGCAAUAGAAUAAUUCAAAUUUGUAUUGCUAUACCGUACUAGCUCAUGAGGUGAAUGCUUCUAAUUCAUCAACAGAAAAUUGCAAGGCAGUACACGCUAGAAUUUUGCCUGACAGAUGUUUCUUCCUUUUCUUUCUUUCUUUUUUUUGUUGCUUUACCCCUUAUCGCCGAUGCAUCUGUGGUCCAAAGUCCAAAGAAGUGCGAUUUGCCUUCCUGUGUUACUGGUUUUUUCUGUCGGCACGCUGUACUUUUCACCGAUUAUUAAGCUGAUCUGUUGGGUAUCAGAUUGGAUCCAUGCAGUUGAAGCAUUACCAGACCCGUUUGCAAGGCUGACCACGCCCAAAUCUACAGUACAUCAUUUAGCUUAAGCGCUGAUGUGCCGAAUCCUCCUCAGUUAACCCCGCCCAAAUCGCGAACACCCUCACCUGUUCUCGCGUCGGCACGUAGGCUCCUACCGAGUCUUACUCCGCGCUCCAACGAAAAGGCCAAACCAGACUCCCAACUUCUCCUCAAGUCGGGGGUGACCCCGCCGCCCCUGUCUCAGUUCAUCCAGCGGUUCGCGCGCAGUGCCCACGGCGCGCCGCACUGUGACUAGCGCGCAACGUGCUCGACGGAAUGCCGCACCGGGACGUCGUCUCGGCCACCGCGGCCAUCGGCGCGCUCACCCGCCGCGGCCGGCACCGCGACGCCCUCGCCAUGUUCUCCCGGGUGCUCGCCGGCGGCGUCGCGCCCAACGAGUUCACCUUCGGCACCGUCCUCCGGUCGGCCACCGCGCUGCGCGCCCCGCGCGUCGGCGCGCAGCUCCACGCCUGCGCCGCCAAGCUCGGCCUCUGCUCCAACGUCUUCGUCGGAAGCGCCCUCCUCGACCACUACGCCAAGAUGGGCGCCAUGAAGGAGGCCCAGGGCGCGCUGGAGGAUACCAGUGAGCCGAACGUGGUCUCCUACACCGCCCUCAUUGCCGGUUUGCUGAAGAACGGGAUGUUCGAUGAAGCAGACCGCUUGUUCCGGCGCAUGCCAGAGAGGAACGUGAUCUCUUGGAACGCGAUGAUCGGCGGGUGUAGCCAAGCCGGGCUUAGCGAGGAGGCUGUUAAUCUGUUCCUGGAGAUGUGUCGAGAAGGCGUAACGCCGAACCAAAGCACCUUCCCCUGCCUGCUCACUUCUGUUGCCAAUGCAGGGGCACUCGGCGUUGGUAGAAGCGUCCACGCAUCGGCCAUCAAGUUCUUGGGCAAUCUUGACGUCUAUGUGGGCAAUUCUCUUGUGAGCUUCUAUGCCAGGUGCGGUAGCCUGGAGAACAGUGUCCUAGCGUUCAAAAAGAUCAGGCAAAAGAAUGUGGUAUCAUGGAAUGCGCUGAUCUGUGGGUAUGCGCAGAAUGGGAGGGGAGAGGAGGCUUUGGAUGCUUACAAGGCGAUGAGAGCGACGGGGCUGAAGCCGGAUAAUGUCACUCUUCUCGGUUUGCUGUUUGGUUGCAACCAUGCUGGUCUGGUUGACGAAGGCUAUGCAUUGUUUAAGACUGCUGAAAUGGAGCAACCUGGUAUACUGAAACCUGAGCAUUAUGCCUGUGUAGUUGAUCUACUAUCUCGGGCCAAGCGGUUCGACGAUGCCAAGAGGUUUCUUGAGGAGCUGCCCUUUGAACCUGGCAUUGGUUUCUGGAAGGCACUGAUAGGAGGUUGUCAGAUUCACUGGAACAGGGAGCUAGCUGAGAGCGUUGCUAAGCGCAUUCAUGAAUUGGAUCCAAAGGACACAUCUUCCUACAUUCUCCUGUCAAAUGUUUAUUCUGCAGCAGGAAGCUGGCAAAGUGUGUCCAAUAUCAGGAGGGAGAUUAAGGAGAAGGGGCUGAAGAGGAUUACCGGCUGUAGUUGGAUUGAGGUCCAGGACAAAGUCCAUGUCUUCUUCAAUGGAGACUGUAGGCAUCAACAGAGUGAUGAAAUUUACUCGGUGCUUGAAGCGUGUCUGUAUACCGGGAAAGAUGAUGAACAUGAACUCUCAACUGUGUGAUGAUGACAAAUCAUCCAAAAGAGUGAGACUAUUGGAAAAGAUGUUUGCUUGUCACUGUCUUCUAUCGUUUUGAGGACCACAGGAGACUGCAGCGCUGCACCAUGGAGAGCGAGUAAUCAGGUUUCAGCCUUUCAUGUAUCAGAUGAUCCGAUGCCUUGCGGUAGCUGCAAGAAAUGUCCCUUGUAUCGCAACAGCAAAGGAAUACUGCAGUGUUCUUGGACUGAAGAUGACUAGAUGAGCAGCUGGAUCAUGCUCAGGUUAGAGGAUGGUACCAUAAAUCAGCAUGUCAAAGGAAACCUGCUAAGUUUUUAGACAAGAUGAGCAGCUGGACCAUGUUCACAUCAGAGGAUGGCGGUACCGACAUGGCACCACAAAUCAGUAUAGAAAUUUUACAUAGCAAUGCUGGCUGGUAUGUUCCUUGUUCAGGGUUAACCCUGUUUUCAUUUAAAAGAACUCAUUUAAUCAAUUGGCAUUCUUAAAUAAAUAAUGUUGAACCUUUCAACUGUAAUGUUAAUGGAUUAAAUGAGUCCCUUGACAAAUUGUAAUUCAAUUGUCAACCACAUAAGCUUCUAGAGAUGCAUCAUAUGUAUCAUCCAAAAGAAGCUUCUCUACAGGUGCUAAAAAUAAGCAAGAGGUACCAAUAAUUAGUAUCGGGUGCUAAAAAUAGGCAAGAGGUACCAAACCAGUCCUAAAUGUUUCGGAUAAGCAACUGCAAAAUCAAAAGUUGACGCAAAAAACGUGACUGUCGACAGUUUAAUACACUACCCAAAAUAUAAUGCCAUACACGCCUUGGUCAUCGUCACAACAUUCUACAAGCAAACAUGCCCUGGGGAAACUCAGUUUUGAUGUGAAAAUUUGAUGUGAAAAUCUGAACUCCAAAUUCAAACAACUCUCCAUCAAAACUAGAAAAUGACAACAUCAAGAAUUUAAGAAAAUUAUAUUUGGAUAAUAGCGUUGUAUUCGGAACAUCCACAAGGGUCAUUGAUUCCUUCAGCACAGGUAAACAAUUCUACAUUGUUCCACUAGCAACCUAACACUGCGCUAAACAAGUAAAACAUCGGAGGAAAAGAAACAAAGACCGCAACAACGUGCGGCAAUCUAAGAGGAGGUGAACUUGGUGACAGCCUUGGUGCCCUCAGAGACGGCGUGCUUGGCGAGCUCGCCGGGGAGGACGAGGCGCACCGAGGUCUGGAUCUCCCGGGAGGUGAUGGUGGGCUUCUUGUUGUAGCGCGCGAGGCGGGCGGCCUCCUGGGCGAGCUUCUCGAAGAUGUCGUUGAUGAACGAGUUCAUGAUGGACAUGGCCUUGGAGGAGAUACCAAUGUCCGGGUGCACCUGCUUGAGCACCUUGAAGAUGUAGAUCUUGUAGGUCUCGACGCUCUUCUUGGCCUUCUUCUUCCCCUUCUUCUCGCCGCCCUCCUUGCCGGAGCCAGGCACGCGCUUCUCGGCCUUGGGCUUCUUGUCGGCCUUCUCCUCCGCCGGCUUCUUCUCAGCGGGCUUCUUCUCGGCCUUGGGCGCCAUCACGGAAUCGAGCGGGUGGAGCCGACGGCGGAGCUCGGGAAGCGGCGGAUUGGGAAUUUGGUGGUGGGGGCGGCGGUUGCUCUUGGCUUUUGGUGGUGGGUUUCCGGGGGGGCGGGGUGGGUUUAUAUAGGCAGGUGGGGCGGGCUAUGAUUGGUGGAGGGGGUGGCGGCGCGGAUCGAUGAUAUGGCGGUCUGUGGAGCGUCGGAUCGUUGGACGGCUGGGAUUUUGAGGCGCGGGGGAGGGGUUUGGCGUGGGGACGCGUAUCGCCGCGGAUUCGGGAAAAUACGAGCGGGAAACCGUCAGCCAUGUGUGAAAUCGUAAGUUUUGGCCUUUUGGGGCGCGGGUUGUUUUCUUUUUUAUGUGGAGAUUUUUGCGCGCGGGCCAGCGGCCAGGUUUUGGGGCGGCAAGAGUAGGCUGGGCCUCUGUCGGCCACAGGCGGGCUUCACUGCUAGAGUGCCGAAGAUUUACUGGCCUAGCUUUAAAAUUCAAAGAUUAACUGCACUCGCAACUUCCCCCUCAAAAAAAAAAACUGUACUCGCAACUUGAUAUUGCCACGCUCUUAAUUGUGGAAAUGGGGCGGCGAUUAUCUUGAGAAAGAUAUAAUUUUUUUAAGAAGUACCUGUUGAUGUUGAUGUUGUAACUGUUGUAAUAGAAAUUUGUUUGUAACCCAUACAGUGAAAUCAUAUCGGGGAUUAAGAUCAUCACGGCUCAGAUUGGUGCUCUACCACUAGGAUCAAGUCCUUAAAGUCUUGGAUUGAAACCUUGCCACCGGGGAGGCGGGGAGAAAGCUCCAUUAUGCGGAAGCAACGUCCAUGCAUUUGUUUCGCUGCAAGCUAGCUUUUAAAUAAGUUUUUUUUAAUUUAGCCCAUUUUUAUUAAGUAUCAUCUUAUAUCAAUUUUAGAGGCAAUCUCAUUACCGAGCUGACAAACCAACUGACAAGCCAAACCUUAUCGAACUGUGUCCACUUGGCAACAUCCUGAAUUAACUAUUUAUCUUAAUGUAAACAGAUCGAAAUGCACAAAUCUUGAAGCUUCUACCACAAUUCAAGGUUUUUUUGCCCAACCCUUUGCAGGAUGAGCCACUUGACAGCAUGGUCAAUGAUUCUUGUUGUCUCUUUUUGCUAAGCCACGUUACUAGAAGGUCUUCGGCAACACUGGCUAGUGAUGGGUUCUAGUAAAAUCAAAUAAUAGGUAGUAUUAUAGUUUCAACCAUUUUGAAGACCAGGUCUUUUAGAGAUAGAAGUCGUUUUCACUUUUUUUAGCGAGAUUGAUUUUAUCCAUUUGGUGUCAAUAAUAGGCGCCCAUUCGAGGUGUAAAGAAAUUGAUCUUGUUUUAUUAUUAAUGAUGCGAAGCUAUUUCUUAGAGGCUUCAUCGGGUGAUAACCUGCAUUACAUAUUGGAGCCUAAGAUCUUUCUACUUUGACCGACACGCCACAAGAACACUUUGAACAAAUGAAUUCUUGAAAAACCUACAAAGUGAAUAGAUAAAGCUACCUAUAAAGUGAACAUAUAGAUCUUCUUAUAUUUCGAGCACCUGGGGUGCUGCUGCAAACCCUCGCCCUCACCUACCUGUAAACUACAUCCACAUAUAUAUCCAUCGGUUGUAGCACCCACACACACGGGUAAGAUUGGCAUGCUGAGUAUCUAUCAAUCUAGUAAAUCCAAUAGUUGCUUUAGUGAUGUAUCCCACUGGGGUGCUUUUGGCUAUGGGUUAUGUUUCAUGGUGUCAUUGUAUGUGUUAACUUGAUGGCAACAUUCUUUGUAACAGUAAUAAUUCGACUCUUUCUUCUGGUUAUCGAUGUUAUAUCUAGCACUUACGAGGGAUUUAUGAGGAUUAUGAUCGUGUCAACUGAUGGUAACAUGGGAGAAGAAUGGACGACCUUUAUCAGGCCAGAGGUGCGGUAUCAUCAAUAUUUCUCAAACAUUUAUAUGCAUGUGUACUCCUCAAUACGCAUGACUAUUAUGGUGUUAAAAAUCACUAUGCGAUUGUGAUUCAUCCGUGUAUUACUUUUCUCUUUUUGUCCACUCUUAACGAUGAGGGGAGCAAUGCAUAGUAGUGAUGUAAUACUUUUAUCAAAUUUGAUCGUAUUGUUUGGCACGAUUUUUUAACCCGAUCAUGUUUUUCGUAACAUAAAUAGACGCCCAAUGACGUCUUUGCUUAAAAAACAACCGCUAUGAUUCACUCCAUGUCCUUUUUAAAAAAAAUGAUUCGCUCCAUGAAACUUUCCUUUUCUUAGAGCACUGAGUCAAACCAUAGUGCCGACCGAGUGCCGCAAAAGAGCCGACGCCGCUUGCCUCGCUCCCCCGCACGGAUGGGGGAUAUUUAAGUAAUUGCCACCCUUGCAAAUGGCACUCCUUCAUUUGCCACUUUUACGGGAGCUUCUACUAUUUUGCCAUCGCGAACGAAACGUGGCAACUGAUUUGCCAUUUUUGCUGACGUGGCACGCCACGUCCCCGCGACAGCGUGGUUUAGGGGUGCCAAAAGACCCUCAUGCCCCCGUCGGUCUCCUCCGUUACCCCGGACCCGACGCCAUCCCCUUCCCCGUCUCCCCCCCCCACUUCUCCCCUCUCCCCCCAGGCCUCCCUCCUCCCUGCCUCCCCGACGAAAAACCUAGGUCUAGAGCGGCGGCGGCGGCGGAGGCGGUGGCGGCCAUCCAUCUCCCCAUUCCCAUCCCCUUCCCCAUCUACCCCAUUCCCCAUCUGCUGUUGUUCCUCCCUGCGCCAACGGGUCAACAAUGGAGCCUCCUCCCUGGUAAGCUGCAAACCAUCCCCUCUUAAAGUGUUUGCCUGAGAGGAGUUGGAUGUUUCUAACUCCGUAUUUUGUUAUUUUCAUUAUUAUACCAGGAUUGAUCCUGGAAAUGCAUUUAGAAUAGAGGUUAAGGUUGAAAAGUAUAAGGCAUUUGCGGAGUCUGGUAUUGUAGAAAUUCAUGAACAAGAACAUGUGUUGUGGUUUGAUAGAUGCAGUGGGUAUAAUCUGGAUAGUUUUGUUGUUGAUAUGGCUAGCAAAAUAUACUGGGGAUCUAGUCAGACAAUUGCAGUGUGGUCUGUGGAUGUUAACAGUGAAGCUGAGUGGAAGGUUAGAAAAAAUGAGCAUUUUGAGUCAAUGAUAAAGCACAGAUGGAAUGUUGGAGUAGCAAAUGUUAGGGUAGAAGUUGUGGACAGAUGGAAUGAAGGGUACCAAAAUGUUAACAGUUGUGCAGGGUCAGUAGGCAAUUCUGGAGUAGGGACUUCUGGAGUAACAAAUGAAGGUGCAAGUGAAUAUUGUACAUCUCCAGCACAACAUGAGCAAGCCCAAACAGAAAUUGUUGAUUGGAGUACACUGACUAUACUGCCAGAGACUCAACAAGAUGGUGAAGCUUAUGUUUUGGCUGAUGAGGACAGGGUUUAUGAGGCAAUGGGCUUCAAAGCAGCAGAUGAGGCAGCAGCUCAGGCAGCAGCACAAGCAGCAGCAGAAGAUGACCCUGCUAUCCCUGACAUUCCUCCUGAUGUACAAGCAGAGAUGCAUGAGGCUGGAAUUCAUGUUGAUGACAAUGAACCUUCAGAGCCAAUACUUGAGUGGGAUAGAGACAACCCAGACAUGAGGGUGGGCACAAUCUACCCUAACAUGGUAGAUUUCAGAUUGGCAGUGAGGCAGCAUGCUAUAGUCAAUGAGUUUGAGCUGGGAACUGAGAAGUCAGACAAAGAAAGAUUCAGGGGGCAUUGCUUGGCUAAAGGGUGUCCAUGGGUUAUUAGAGCUAGAACAAAAGCUGAUGGUUCUGUCAGGGUACAUUUACUAACUUACAUGUGUUGUAAUGUUUGACUAACUUAGCCUUACUAUUUGUUUGCUGUUGAGCUAACAAAUCUUUAUGUCCUGCAGGUCCAAAUAAACAAUGAGCUUCAUAAGUGUGCUUCAAGAAGCAGAGUGCUGGGCAGAAUGGCCAAUCAAGCAUGGGUGGCUGAGAGGGCCAUACCUUUGCUCAAGAGGAAGCCUGGAAUGGGUGCUGCAGAUGUGAAGGAAGCAUUGGAGGACAAGUACAAGAUUAAGAUCAACUACCAGACAGUUUGGUAUGGUAGGCAGAGAGCAGCUGACAAAUUAUUUGGUAAGUAGGAUGAUUCAUUUGAUUGGUUGUAUAGGUUUAAGGCAGAAGUGGAGUUGAGGCAGCCUGGUAGUGUAGUUGAGAUAGAUACUGUCAAAGUUGGAGAGAAGCACCAUUUCAACAGAUUUUUUUGUGCUUUCAGAGGUAGUAUAGAUGGGUUCUUGUAUGGGUGUAGACCUUACAUUAGUAUAGACUCCACAGCUUUGAAUGGGCAGUGGAAUGGACAUAUGCCUGCAGCCUUAGCUUUAGAUGGUCAUAAUUGGAUGUUCCCUUUGGCCUUUGGGUUUUUUGAUUCAGAGACCAAGGACAAUUGGAUUUGGUUCAUGGAGCAGUUAGGCAAGGCCAUUGGGGUACUUCCAAGAAUGGCUGUUUGUACUGAUGCUUGCAAGGGCCUAGAGUCUGCUGUCAAGCAUGUUUUUCCAUGGGCUGAACAGAGGGAAUGUUUUAGGCACUUGAUGGAAAACAUGAAGAAGAAGUUCACAGGAAAUGUAUAUGCUGAAAACAUGUGGCCUGCUGCAAGAGCUUACUCAGCUGGAAAGCACAAUUACUUUAUGAGUAAAGUCUUGGAAGCUAGCCCUGAGGUAGGAAAAUGGUUAGAAGAGCACCAUAAUCUGUUGUGGGCCAGAUCCAAGUUCUCUCCAGACAUCAAAUGUGACUACAUCCUGAACAAUUUGGCUGAGUCUUGGAAUGCAUGGAUCAAAGAAUUCAAGGACCUUCCACUACACUGUCUGGUAGAUGCUAUCAGAGAGAAAGGUGUGGUCAUGUUUGAAAGGAGGAGGAGGAUUGGAAGAGCUUUGAAUGGAGUUAUUCUCCCUGCUGUGAUUCAUCAACUUAAUGCUGCCUCAAAGGGGAUAGGACACUUAAAGGUCACCAAAGGACUGCCACACCAAGCUGAGGUCACUGAGAUAUACAAAGAUGAGGAAGUAAGAAGACAUGUGGUCUAUCUCAAUGACCAGAGCUGUACAUGUAGAGAAUGGCAGGUUACUGGUAAGCCUUGCUCCCAUGCUUUGGCUGUUAUAACCACUGUGAGGCAGCCAGAUUAUGAAAAGUUUGUGGACAUGGCAUAUUCUGUGAUAUGAACCCGCUAGGGGUGAUUCCCGAUCUUUCGAUGACAGGCGUGGGAUAACUCGAUUGGUCAAUGGAGACGACGUUCACGGCCCGACUACAGCCUUCCAAGCUGCGCCUUAGCAACCGACACACCACCUCCAAUGGCUGCCGCGAUCUUGUGGAGCGCGUCACCCGGCCACUAGAGCACUCGUCCUGCAAGCAAUCGAAGAACUAGCAAGAACAAGUAUAACAAGUACUGAAUUUACUAGAUGAAGAUGAAGGUUUCCAACUCAAUCUCAAUACGGUGGGGUUCCGAAGACAGCAAGACGGGCGGCUGAUCCAGCACGCGCGCUUACAAGCAAGUAGCGAGAGCUAAACUUGAUCUAAACAAAACCCAAUCUGUUCGUGACGGCUCUAAUCCUUAUUAAUACCUAGGAGGACGACCAGGGGGGUGUUGGGGUCGUGCUCCAACCCUAGGACACGUCCCUAAUGGACCCAACUUGAUACACGGCCCAUCGGGCCAAAAUAGGGCGACGCAGCACCUGUGGACAGAAAACCUCUCGGUAGUAUUUCGAUGAUUGCGGCCGCCUCAGAAUAGAUAUGGACAUGAGUCCGGAUCCAUAUGAAAAUAGACUUUAUAAGGAUUCCAAGAAGUACUUGAACGCCCAAAACGGAGUCCGGAUGAGGUCGUGGUGGUCGUUGCAAGUUGGGUCAGAACUGUAGUCCGAAUCCAGCACCAAAACGUGUUGGAUUGGAUCUCUUUCUUUCCUUGGGCCAAAAGUGACGUGGUGGUCUGGUGGAGGACAUUAGGAAUACUUGGACUUGGCCCCCAAUCUACUUCUUUGGUCCUCCAUGCCUUCCAUGUGUGUUUAACACUAUUUUUGAUCCAUGUAUGUAUUUCUGAAAUUGACAACGAAUACACAUCAUGGUGCAGCAUCAAUUCAUCAAAUGUAUCACAUAUAAUUAUGAUAAAGAAUUGUUUCACCUCGGAGUCAAAAUAUGCCAAUAUGGUUAUAUCCGAGCAUGUGAUGUCCUCAUCAUUCUCCCUUUCUUGGCUGCAAGUCGUCCUCGACUUGCUCCAGUGGCAUUCUAAGGUGCUUGUUUUGAUGUUGGAGCACGGAGCGACGGCCAUGCUGCAUGGCCACAACCAGUAAUGCUCCCCUUCUUUGGUCUUACCCUGUUGCAUAUGGGAAAAACUAGAAAAACUUUGCAAGACAUUAUUAGUGUUAGUGCAGCCCUCUAUUUGAUCAUGGUAUUGUAGCCCAAAAGGAUAUUUCAGCGUGGAGCAAACAUAAACUUUAUGCACCAAAUAUUCUCCUUUGCUAUCAUAUUUGCCAAUUGCAUGAAGCGAACAAUGAUUAAAACUUGGCAAACCAGAACCAAAUUGAAGUUUCUCUUUUAGACAAUUUAGAUUACACAAAACAUCAAAUUCAAUGUAACCCAAAGUAUUUAAAGAGGAUAGCAAAUUCAGUUCAUCUUGUGCACAAGUAAUAGGAUGAAAAAGCUUAGCUUCAGCACAUUUGUAUGAUUCCAAACCAAAAGUAUCACACUUAUUCACUACUUGUGGUAUAGGAGUAAAAGAAUCAUCAGCACACAAGUCCUCUUUAUCACAAGGAACAGCAAGUAAUUCAUUUUGUGACAAAGGAAAAUCAGCAAUGGGUUCCACUAUUUGAUGCUCUUCAUUAGCAUGGAGAGUGGACAAAUUUUGAAUAUAAUGGGUCACAUCAUGCUUGCAAGUAUUCACAGAUAAAAGAAUCUCUUUUUCAACAUUGAGAGCAAGGCAAAACAAUUGACCAAUAUGUAUGUAUGAUUUGCUUAGCAACAAGGUUUGAAUUUCAGAAUUGAGCCCUCUCAUGAACCUACACAUAACAUCUUCCAUGCACUCAUCUAAUCCACCAUACAUGAUACAAAUUUUAAAAUCAUGGAAGUAUUCUUUUACAGUCCUACUACCUUGCCUCAAGUUGUCUAAUUUAGCAAGCAAAUAAUCAGCAUAAUAUUCAGGAAUGAAUGCAUCUCUAAAAAGAAAUUUAAAGUCUUCCCAAGAUUCUAGAACUUUGUUGUGCCUACAAAUGUGUUUCCAUUCUAGCAAAGCAAAUCCAGUCAAAACAUUAGAGGCAAUAUAAAUCUUUUGUUUCUCGGACAAGUCAUGCUCAUUAAAUUCAUUAUCUACUUUUAGCUCCCAAUCAAUGUAAGCUUUAGGAUCAAACUUACCAUCAUAUAACGGCAAUUGUUGAAUGACAUCUUGAAUAUGAGAGUCUAGUUUCAACAGCUCAAAAAUCUCCGUAUCACCUGCCAUGAUUAGUAGAAAACAAGAAACACAAAAAUAAUAUGUAUCCUCCUGUCAACUACUAGGAUGUGUCGGUUGUAAUUCUCUCAAACUCAACUUGUAAAAACAAGCCCUUACAAGUUCUUACCAAGCCAAACAGGAGGUGACGGCAACCAACAAGUCUACAACCGUGGAGUGAAGUGUAUCGGUGCCGCAGCAACAAAAAACCUGUCAAGCUGUAGUCGAAUAUGUGGAGCUGUAGGUGGGCUUAAGCAAGGAAAUAUACUAGCACCACGUUAGUCACAAAAGCAAGCUGAAUAAUAGUUCAACGGUGGUACUGUGCUGGUCCUAGCCUAGACCGUGCUAGAGACGCGAGCCUGGACACAAAGGAAGUCACAACACACCACCGGAAAACAAUAGGGAAGCACAACGAACAGCCCCUUUUCUUCCUAUUUUUUUUUGUCUUUCUUUUCUUCUUUUUUUUCUUCUGUUUUUUUUUCUUUUUUUUUCAGGGGAUCCUCAAAUCUGAUUAUAUGAACAAAAGGACUUCACAAGAGUCACACACCACACAAACGUUUGCCAAAACGAUAGAAAUCAGAUUUGGACUCAAGAUAGCAACAAGGCAGCUGUCAAUUCAAACUCCAAACCGAUUCCAACUCGAACUCAGCACCACGCGGGAUUCGGUCUUAAACAAACUCGGAGUCCUACUCGGACUUGAGCACAAAUAUGUAUUCAGAUUCAGCCAACAAAAGGUUUUAUAUGGUAGCACACGGCUGUGACUAGAACGUGACAAGAACUCGAAACUCUAAAGGACAAAAACUAAGACCAGCAACUCGACACAACCGAUGCAACCAAAAACUCAACAAGCCCUAACUAAGCAGUGCUAGCAAAGGCUCAAAGGGUUUAUAGGAUUGCGAGUAAACUAAUCUACUACUUUUUUUGGCUUUUUCUGGACAAUAGGAAAUUAAAAACAGCAAAAAACUAGAAGUCUCUCACCGAUAAACCUUGCUCUGAUUACCAACUGAUAUGAACCCGCUAGGGGUGAUUCCCGAUCUUUCGAUGAGAGGCGUGGGAUAACUCGAUUGGUCAAUGGAGACGACGUUCACGGCCCGACUACAGCCUUCCAAGCUGCGCCUUAGCAACCAACACACCACCUCCAAUGGCUGCCGCGAUCUUGUGGAGCGCGUCACCCGGCCACUAGGGCACUCGUCCUGCAAGCAAUCGAAGAACUAGCAAGAACAAGUAUAACAAGUACUGAAUUUACUAGAUGAAGAUGAAGGUUUCCAACUCAAUCUCAAUACGGUGGGGUUCCGAAGACAGCAAGACGGGUGGCUGAUCCAGCACGCGCGCUUACAAGCAAGUAGCGAGAGCUAAACUUGAUCUAAACAAAAACCCAAUCUGUUCGUGGCGGCUCUAAUCCUUAUUAAUACCUAGGAGGACGACCAGGGGGGUAUUGGGGUCGUGCUCCAACCCUAGGACACGUCCCUAAUGGACCCAACUUGAUACACGGCCCAUCGGGCCAAAAUAGGGCGACGCAGCACCUGUGGACAGAAAACCUCUCGGUAGUAUUUCGAUGAUUGCGGCCGCCUCAGAAUAGAUAUGGACAUGAGUCCGGAUCCAUAUGAAAAUAGACUUUAUAAGGAUUCCAAGAAGUACUUGAACGCCCAAAACGGAUCAAAGGUAAGCCCGUCUCCUCACCGACAAGAGCAUCUACAACCGGCCUCCUCACACUUGAUGACGCUCCAGCCUGCGACAUGGCUUGCGCGUGACGGAUGGGGGAAGAAGGGACGACUAGCGGGGGGGGGGGGGUUUGGGGGGGGGGGCUGGUGACCCGCUGCGCAGGGAAGGAAGGGAGGAGAUGGGGAAGAGGGGAGAUGGGGAACGGGGGAGAUGGGGAAUGGGAGAUGGAUGGCCUCAGUCGUCGCCGCCGCCGCCGCCGCCGCUCUAGAUGGGGAGAGGGGAGAAGUGGGGGGGAGACGGGGAAGGGGAUGGCGUCGGGUCCGGGGUAACGGAGGAGACCGACGGGGGCAUGAGGGUCUUUUGGCACCCCUAAACCACGCUGUCGCGGGGACGUGGCGUGCCACGUCAGCAAAAAUGGCAAAUCAGUUGCCUCGUUUCGUUCGCGAUGGCAAAACAGUAGAAGCUCCCGUAAAAGUGGCAAAUGAAGGAGUGCCAUUUGCAACGGUGGCAAUUACUUAAAUAUCCCCACGGAUGGUGGUUCCGUCACCCCAAACGGCGAUGGGCGUCCAGGAUCGAUGAUCAUAGAUCGCUCCGACGCCCAGUCGCUCACGGCUCACCCGGUGGAUGGCGGCGCCCACCAGCAGCCUGCCUGCUAGCCGGUUCUUCUCCCUCCCUUCUCUCGGGUACGAUUCUUUCGAACUUUCCAUCCCUCCCUCUCCCAUCACCUUGUCCAACUGCCCUCCGGUCUACUCACGUCCGAGUCCAACGACGGAUCUCCCUCUACGAUGAUCUAUUAGCUUUUGCUGCGAUCUGAUCUACUAUAAGCUUUGUUAAAUUGAUCGAUCUAUCACGGGAUCCCCUUCCGCAGAUCCGACUUAGAUGCAGAUCGCAGUCACGGUAAUGUCAGAAUAGGCUUCAUCUUCAGCACUAAUCUAGUGGCGUUAGUUACUCGCAUGGCUGUCUCCUCCCGGUUGGAAUUUGGGGCCUUUCAUUUAACCUGAUUCGGAUUUGGGACUUGGAAAUAUAGAGGGAUCAAAUCUUGGGAGCCAGCCUUUUGAAUGAAACGCCAUGUUUAGUCGCACCGGGUGCGCCCCACUUUUUGUUUCGACGGGAACGGUGGCACAUCCCAUUUGCACUUCACACCAUAGAUCUUACUACUGCUUGGUGAUUUGGGAUGAUGAGUUGUCUGUUGGUGCUUGCCUUUGGUGGCUGCUGGCUGGGUAGUUCUCACUGGAUAAAGUAGCAAAGUUUUACAUCAGUUUGAUAUGGUUGCUGCAAGCAUUGACUAAAUGUAGCAUAUAUGUUGCGUGCUAUUAGAUGUUUCCGGGUAUUAUCUUGCCUGUAAUUCUAUAUUCUUUACACAACUAGAUAGGUCUUUUGUCUGCAGGGCCACUCAUUGGCGUCCAUUCGUUUAUAAUGUAUCCCUUGAAUGCAGGAAUGGGUGUCAUGUUAGAGGAACUGUCAAUUUGGAACAAUUCAUCUCCACAUACUCUGUAUGUAUUGCAGGAAAAAUUUGUAAGUUUUUUGUGUUGCAGAGCUCUGCUGUCAUGUAUUGCUCAUCUACUCUGGUCCACAUACCACAAUUUUGAACUGUUGCUGGCAAUUCAUGCAUGUGCUUUAUUUUCUGGUGAGGUUAGUUCUAAUGUUCAUGUAUAUAUGCCCUUCAUCACAACCAUAUUUGUACUUUUGUAGUAUACAUUUUAUUUUACCUUUCGAAUGUCACUAAUCCGUAGCCUUGUGUGCUGGCUACUGUCUGAAUGCUGAUACCCAUAUCAGAAUUAGGAUGUGUUGGAAGACAACAGUGGUCAUAUAGCGAAGUGGAUAUCGCGUUAGAUUCCGAAUCUAAAAGUCGUGGGUUCGAAUCCCACUAUGAUCAUUGUCUUCAGGCUUUUUUUCAUGUUUCUUGUAUCUAUAUUUCUUUUUUCUUCAGACAGGGACAUUUUGGCGGCCACCACCAGAAAGUGUACAUGCUCUCUUGUGAACUGGUCCCAUAAGCCUGCUGUCUUUUGUGAGAAUUGUCACCUCAUAUGCACCGUGUCAUCUGCAUCCACUUGUAUAUGUAAAUACAUAAUUGCAUGAUAUUAUUCCAUAGCUUAUUCACUUGAUUUAUGUAACCUGCUGCCUGCUUGUAACUGGUGCCUUAUGGUUUUACUUUUUGUGAACUAUGGAAGAUGGGAGCUUUCCAUAAUUGGUAACUGGUUCACGUCUUCCUGAUGGCCCCAACGUUAUCUGAAACUUGUGGCUGGGUGUUGCUGUUCGUUCCUCAUCUGUUGGUACUUGGUACAGCAUUGCAACUGUGCAUUGCUCAUCUCAUUGUAAAAUCAAAUUCAGCACAGUUCAAUGCAAUUUAUACAUGAUAUUUACACAGGCCAGGUAUGAUUCAUAAUGUGAUGUCAGUUUCUUUACCAAUCUCUGCCGAUUGCUGUUCGGACUUCAGACUGAUUUUGCUACAACUUGAUUCCUGUUCGGACUUACUGAUUUUGCAUCGUUUAAGUGUUUGACAAGGCAGCUAUACGACAACAAAGGUUAAUACAGUUAAGCUGUACAGCUGCUGUGUAAAGUAACGGGUAAAACUUAAUAACUAUGUUAAGCCAUGCUUACACAGUUAAACUCGCACCAGAGCACCAGGAAAAGUGACUAAACUCACAUAACUAAUUAUCUGGACCAAAAACUGAUUCAGUACACAAACUAUUGCACGAUUUCAUAGAUAUGUUCUACCUAUUGAAAAUCCAGCUUGUUCGAAUAGCGCUCAACAGUUAGCUAACAUAAGUGGCGUCAGUUUAUACCAGGUUCACUACCAAAGUUAUGAUAAAAUUUAGCAUUUCAAGUUUAUCAACAUUGGUUGCCCAAGACACACGAUACAAUCGAAUCUUUAGAAUACGCGACCCGUCCCAGUGCAUUUCUGGAGACAAAACCACUAUCAACCAAUGGACAGACGCUAAGUGGAGAAUAUACAAGACGCUGGCAUCAGAUGAACAUUUGGAGAUCGACAGCAAAAUCUUGCGGCCUGACACUGACACGGGGUUAGAUUCCACAGUAUACCCAUUUUCUUCAGAGCAUUUCCUGUGAUUUCCGCACGAUGCGCCUAACCUUUUUCUUGAAGUCCUCCCUCUUCUCCCUCCACUCUUUCUGUGCAAUAAAUACAACAGGCAUACAUUCAGAAACAAAGAAAUGCACUUUGCAUCAUUGCAGUAACACAUGGUAGUCCCUAUGCAACAAACACAAAUACUCUGGAGCUGGCACUUGUGACUCGUUCCUGACCCCAACAACUGGUUGAUAUCUAGAUGAAGUAGUGGAUGGUGUGUAGGGGCAUGAGAUGUCCAAUGGAAUUAUGCGAAUAAUAAUUUCAUAAUGUUUCAGAAAGUACUACAAAAGUUUUUUUAUGACACUCAGCACUGAAUUUUUCAAUAGUGGACAUUAGAACAAAAUUUGUUCGAGAACAGCAAAGCACACAGCAUGAUUUUGAGAAUGCUGGACACCAAGACAACUUUGACCUCUCAGUGUUGUUGAUUUCCUUUUAAUACUGACACGAUAUCUUGCCAUAGUACAAAUAAAUCCUUAUCAUUUUAAAACACUGGCAUGAUUACUGAUUGAUGGCAACAAGGACAGUAGGAGACAAACAUGAAGUAUUUUGACAUCAUAGAGGCCCACAAGUAAAGGUCCAGUAAACGAAUCAGUAUAAAGUAAAUUGUCAGUUGAACUUACAGCUGCCUCAAUAUUUGCUGGAGACUCGUCAUUUGGACUAGAGAGCAUAGAAAUAAUGCUUAGAACUAUACUUUCAACCUACAAACAAAAAACAAUAAUCAACUCAACAAUUAGCAAAAGCAUACAUAAAAAUAUUCACUGCUGAAAGGAGCCUGCACUUUAUCACUCUACCUAGAGACCCAAUGAGAGUAUUCUCUAUCUAUCCAGUGGAAGCUAGCAACAAUUCUAGAAUUGUUCACCACACAGAAGAAUACAUGUCAAUAUAUUAUUAGUAAAGCAUCUGCCCGCAAGGCAAUCAGCAAAUGCAAUAAUCUCUCAAAGACCAGAUGAUGAAUCCCAAAAAAUAAGGAAUUCCCUAGCAAUAAGCACUCAUAAAGCAUCAAAUCAUAAUGAAAUUCAAAGAGUAUACAAAUCAGUCAGUGAACUUCUGAAUAUUGUUUUCGUGGUGUAUGGCAGUAAAUUUAACUAAUAAAGGCUUCCAUACGGAAUAAGUUAAUGGGUAUGGGAUGGUACUAAUACAGAACACAAAAUGAAAAUGGAGAAGGAAUAUUUUAGCACCGGAGACAUUGUGUACGAAGCCUUACUGUAUGCACAGGUGUCCAACGCUCACUGGCAAGCUCAUAGCCGUUGGGAUCUUCACCAGGUGGAUGAAGAAUAGAGAUACACACCCGCCCAUCAGGAUAAACUGCCAAUUGCCCAAAUAUUAUGCAUGAUGUCAGAAAUCAGAAUUACAGAUCAAGUAUAAAUAAAUGUGAGUUCACAGCAAUAAAGAGCUGACCAUUCGGAUGCCACAUUUCAGAUGUAAAUCUGACUGAUGGUGGGCUGUUCGGGUAAUUUUGAGGGAAGCUCAUUAUAGCAUUGAAGUACCCUCCAUCACUGCAAAAUGAAGGUUAAUAUUAGUGUGUUACUCAGAAGAUAAAUAAAAUACUUUUACAUGAUUGCAUCAAGAAACUUCAAAGACAAAUACAAGGCCAGCAAAUCAACAGUUUUAUCUUUAAGGUUUGUCAGUAGUUCAAAAAGCUUUAGCUGAGUUUAUUCAUUCAAGACUCAGAUCACAUGUUUUGUUUGAGAUUGAUGUGAUUAUCAAGUAAUGCAUUAAAGCUGGAAAUAUAUUGAUCACAACUAUCCAAACUCCUGAAGGUAUUUUUAGGUUCCAGUUAAAUUUUCCUUGCAGUGCACUAUUUCUUUGCAACAAAGUGAACAUAAACAUUUGGUACAAGAAACAAACACCUAACCUAAUAGCUCCACUGCUUGCUAGUCCAUUAGGCCAGUAUAGAACCGUGCUGCAAUAUACGUUAUGGUGAGUAGCCAGCCAGCAAGAAAACUGACACGUAUCACUACUCUAUCAAUGAUGCUGGACAACCAUCCGACCACUUGGUCAGGAUUUAUCAAAGAGAACAUACUUCAUGAUAAUUAUUCCAGUCUAAUAUUCAUGUUUAUUUGAUCACAGGCCAUCUUUUAAUGCCUAGCAUGAUUGCACUAGGUUUUAAGUCUAUGAUUUUGUUAUCAAUAUGAACUGAAUUUGAUCUUCAUAAAAUGUACCCAAAGUAAGCUAGCAUGUAUUUUAAGAAAUUUUAAACUAACAUCUCAAAUGUCCAAUUCCAUAUAACCAAUUUCAAAUAUGCAGCUGAAAAAGAAACUGAUAGACAAAAAAAAAACACAGCCACACUAGUUCAGAUUAUGUAGUGAUAUGUAUGGCCAUAAAUGACAAGUUGCUUUGCUACUUUCCAUGCUGAGCUAAUGGCAGGCUAUUCAAGAAACUCUCAAGUGUGCUGCAUGCUCUUCCAUACAAACCACAUCCUUACGUAUGAGAUAACAAUUAUCAAACAUAACAGAUGUUUGCAACUGUGCAUAACUACAUAUACACCAAACUCAUCUACCAACACUAGUGUUCUUUCAAAUUUAUAACUAUCAGACUAUCAGUUACUCAAGUGUUGUUUUAUGUGUGCAGAACUCCACAAAAUGGCAGGCAUACUUACAACAUGUGGCGAAUAUUCUAGUCCAUACUGUAUUUGAGUAAUUAGUAGUCAGUGUAUUUACUUCGAAUCUGUGUGUUUUCCCUCUACUUCCAACUCAUAUUUCAAAUCUGAACAGGAAGACGCAUUCUGCUAUAAAAAUUCUGCUCAGGCACCACUGCACCAUAUAGCUUGACAAAAUUGAAAUUCAGGUGGCACUACUCAUGCAAGUGCCACAAAGUCACUCAAUAUUGAAUCGCGGGAAACAAAGUGUUCCUGAAGAAUUUCUCCCAUCUAUCUUUUACAAACUCCAAAACAAACAUGCAGUUCCAUUUCACAGGAUGAUGUAGCUGAAGAACCCAUCCGAAACUACCAUGAGACCGUCCCCUGCAGCAUGCCAAUGGAGCCUAAUUCCCCCCAUUUUCAAAUAUGAAACCCAACCCAGCAGUACACACAAUUUAUCCCGGAACUGCUGUCCCCCUGGUAGGCAUAUGCAGACCCAAUUCUAGGUAUUGUACGACCACAUAUUCAGAAACCACAAAUUAGACGAUAAACAGAGCAACCCACACAAUACGAACCAAACAAAUUCGAUGGAACUUGGCACCAGCCAUGUAGCCAAGUUGUUGCACUACUAGCCUCCUAGGGGUAUGCCACCCGCUGCAACAAUCAACAUGCCAAGCAAAUUCAGCCGCACACCAGGCUCCGCUAGAAACGAAUCCUGGGGAAAGGUUCUCCGUCGCUGCUUCCGAGCCACAGAUGCACACUAAACACCAUAAUUCUCAUGGCACCAACACAGCGAACAAGGAAAUCCAUAGCGAUAAGCGAAAUGGAGAGAAAAUCCAACUCACUAUAGGGUGUCGGGCGGGCCGAUGAUGGUGACCUGCCACUCGAACACGUUGCUGUCGUCGACCAGCCCAGCCGAGAACCCAUCCACCGGGUGCUUCGCUAGAUCUGCGCCAAACAACACCAUACCGCAAAACCACAAAUCAGUCAGCCAAUCAAUCCGCAUGGCUAGAAAGAAAAAUCGAGCGGAAACAGAUGCAGGGAUAACUCAAGCGGUGCCGCACCUCUGAGCUGCUUCUGGAGGAGGAGGCUUGCCUGGCUGGUGGUGGCCGCCAUGGGAGGGGAUCGGCGGGCGGUGGCUGGGCUAGGUUUUUGCGGCGCGCGGAAUGAUUCGCGCUCUCGGUACGCGGUGACGCGAAUUGAUGGGCGCCGCUGGCGCCUUAUUUAUAGACGUGAGGCGGGGAGCUCGGAGAAGAUGGGAAUCGGGAAGUGGGGCGAGCGGUGUGGGGAAGGAGAACGAAGCGGUGGUUGACUGGUAGGGCGGCCGCUCUGCCUCUGCCUGUCUCUCUGCUGUCUGCUCUGCUACCCCGUGGCCAUGGGGUAUCGUAUUUAUUAUGACAAGGGGUCAAUUUGGAGCAAGAUUGUGACGUCAAUUUGGAUUUUUGAGUAAUUUCAAGUCUUUCAUACGAGGAUUUUUUUUAAAAAAAAUGCAUUUCAUACGAAUAUACUAGUACUGAUGUAAACCAUUUCUUAGAUAAAUUGACUACACGAGCCCUCGCAUUCGAACAUUUCGUCCUAGCCAUCCAGGUGGUUCAUCCUAUUUGUCAUUUUACGUAGUAUAAAAUGAAGACUACCAUUUGGAUUUGGCUCACAAGAACUCUACCGAAUCGAACCUGUUCCACGGUGCUCGUUAUUGGACGAAAUUAGUGCGGUCAUCGGGAAAGAAUCGGUGUCUCUGUCUAAAAAGGCCUAGGACAACAUAAACAUGUUUGCUCACGUGAGCACAAAUAGCAAAUAGUACCACUAAUGUCAGUGUCCGUUUCACGAAGAGUUUCAUGGGCACUAAAUUUUAUGUCAUAUACCAGUCAUUUUGCUGACUUGGUAAAGUUAUUUAUGAGGAGAGUUUCAUCAGAGGUGAGAGGAGUUCCAUUCCUGUGACAUUUCGCAACAAUUAUCUAGUUCUCAGUCUUGAUAACUGUACAAUAAACUGUACACUGAGAUUGGACUACUCAAAAUUUGCAUCGAAUGGUCUGCAUCCGAUCAUCUGAAUAGAAAAAUCACAAGCAUUCUAUGGCAACUACCCUAUGUUUGACUGGUGGGAACAGUCAGCUUCAGUCUAACAGAGGAGGAAUUGUAAGGGCCUGUUUGGCAACCAAGUGUUAAAGUUUAACACCCGUCACAUCGGAUGUUUGGAUGCUAAUUAAGAGUAUUAAACAUAGGCUAAUUAUAAAACUAAUUGCAUAGACGGAGUGUAAUUCGCGAGACGAAUCUAUUAAGCCUAAUUAGUCCAUGAUUUGAUAAUGUGGUGCUACAGUAAUCAUUUGCUAAUGAUGGAUUAAUUAGGCUUAAUAGAUUCGUCUCGCGAAUUAGCACAAGGUUCUGCAAUUAGUUUUAUAAUUAGCUCAUAUUUAGUUCUUCUAAUUAGCAUCCGAACAUCCGAUGUGACACUGUUAAAGUUUAACACCUCGUAUCCAAACACCCCCUAAAUCGUAACGCUUCCUGGGAGAAGGCUGACCCGAUUGGAAUCACCGCCCUGGAGCCGCCUCCGCGGAAUGGCCGACAUGCUGUUUUCUGCAUCAAAACAGGCAGAAAAAUCACAACGCGGAAUAAAGAAAGCACGCCGUCGACUAACGAAACGAUCCGGCCAUCGAACCUGCAUGCUUGGCCAUCCCCCGCGAUCGACGGCUUGUUUUUUAAUACAGAUCGCAGGAGCCUCACUUGGACAGUUGGACGCUGCCUUGUUCCUGGCCAGCCUUCACUACACACCGCAGCACAUCAUCGCUCGGCCAGUCGUCCAGCCAGGAAGGCUGCACGGCCGAGCGCCGGGCGGUGUCCUCCUCGUGGUCGUGGGCGCCGGACGCCACCGACGGCAACGCACGCGAGCCGGACGAGCGUUUCAAGCAAAUGGGCCGACAAAGGUGGCGUGGGUGCGUGGCUCCGCGCGCGCGGGGCAGGGCUCCCCACCCCGCCCGUCCGUUGCUUUGCCCACGCCGGCCAGCGCGAAAUGAUGGUCCGCCGGCCGCCGUGCCGUGCCGUGCCGCGCGUUCCCCCUCCCCUCCGCGCGGCAGACGCGUACGGGGAACGGAAGCUUCGGGGUCGAGAAUCGGCAACUUGCUCGCCCAACCAAGAGGAGCCCCCCACCCACGUCGUGCUCGCUCUCUCGUUGCGUUGCGCCGUUGCGUGCCUCGGCGAGCUGGUGAUGAGGAUGUUCCUUCUCCGUUAAGUUUGCGCACAUCAUCAUCAUUGCAGCCAGGGCGAACGCCUACGCCCAAUUUCCGCGUGGUUCUUUCUGAAACGACGUAAAUCGGGUGCUAGAGGUUCGGCAUCCAUCUAAUCUAUCAUAACUGACUUUGUUCCUCUAUCCACAAGUUCUUGCGGUGAUUCAGCCAGAGUCUUUCGAUGCAAGUAUGUCGACAGGAGUGCAUGCCGGUCACAGAAGCUCAUGACCAGCUCCCCUCCAACAGCAGUCACCGGCCGGCCAAAGCCUACUUGACUAUCCAUCCACUUUGGCACUUUACACGUUUCAGGCGGAUCUAUCCUACGCGCAGAGCGAAUGAUAUCUUCUAGGAGCACAAAAAGGACAACACUUUCGCAGCCUCAAAACGUGAGCCGCUGCACGUUACCAGAAACUACAAUUUCGGCAGCGAACGAUGGCAGCCGUCGGUUCCCACCGGAGAGGGCGACGGAUAACGAUCGGAACAUGCGCGGGUUCCGCUCCCGCCUGGUCGUAUCGUACGAGCGGGCAAAGUCGCACGCUUCCGGCCACCAAUAGUGCGGUCGACGACGACGCCGGUGGACCAUCGGAUGCCGCAGCGCAGAGGCAGAGAUCCUCCCUGCCCCAGCGAGGGUCGUUCACGCACACCGAAUCUAGCUGGGCGUCA